AUGUUUCCCUGGACCAAUUGAGCAAACUCCAUUUCCUUUAGGUGUUGGAUGUGUUUAGGGAGAUACUCCACGUGGAAGGCCGCUAGGAACUGCUCCCAAGUAGCUGGUGUAGGUAGGGUGGUCCGCUUGAGCUCCCACCAGCGUACUGCUUCCCCUACCAGCAUGUAGGAGGCAAUGGCAGCCCUCUGCUCAGGAACUACUCCCAAGGUCUCGAAAGCUCUCUCAGUCUCUGCCAGCCAGUAUUGGGCCUCUUCAAAAGAGGAUCCCCCUGCAAAAGUAGAAGGGUUCAGUCUUCUGUACCUCUCUAUGAAGCCAGGGUCGAUCAAGGAAUGAGCGGGGUCCCGAGGUAGAGGGACUAGGGCCGGCUGAGGGUGAACUGGGGGACCCUGUGGUGGCACCUGCUGAUGUGGUGGGGGUACUGGAAUGUGUUGUGGCGGCGCCUGCUGGUACCGUGGCUGUGGUACCGGGUCGUACCGCGGCUGUGGUGCUGGGUGGUACUGCUGGUACCGUGGCUCGGGAUCAGCCUGCUGUAGUGGGGGCUCAACCUGCGAUAGCGGAGGAGGUCCGGGUAACUCCCUUCUCUCCUCUCGCCUUUGCUGGGCAGCUACGAGAGCUUCCACCAUCUCAAAUAAUCUGUCUAAAUCCUCCCGAAGCAAAUUAUCUUGGGCCGCUCGGUUAAGUGGGGGCCUUCCUCUCCUCAUUUCCGUGUACCUGCAUUCACAAGGAAUGGUUGAGUAACGAUCUAUCGGUGAGUAUUUCUCUAAGGCACUAUUGUGUAAGGGAUGAGUCCGAUGAAAUGCGGCUCUGAUACCAACUGUAACGGCCCCGAAAAUUUAAAAUGAAAUGUGUAUUAAAAAUAUCAAAUGCGGAAGCGAAGUCAAAAUUUCGAUUAACAUCCCUUACACUAAAACCAAAAACGUGCUCACAAAAUAUAAAAGAUCAAACUAACUAAAGGAGAAACUCGAAAGUAAAAGCUAUGAAUAUGACUAUGGAGUCUUUAGGUGUCCCCUUCGUCGUCCUCCUGCAGAACGGGCUCGGGAACAAUGUCUUCCUGAUCUGAAAUGAUUAAAUAAGGAAUGAGCUACACUAGCCCAGUAAAGACAUCACGAUAUCUCACCGUCACGGAGGUAAAGGUGGGUAUAAAACACAAAAAGACCAAUGGAGCAUAAUUUACAACAAAUCCUUUUAUCAAUAAUAAAUCCUUUACCAUCCACUUACCUCGGUGAAAUUCAUAAAACAAUAUACGAAAGCAAUAACAUUAUCAUCAUCAUGAAAUCAUAUAAACUGUAUAAUAUAAUACUUAUCACGCCUUUUGUAAUUCAAUCAUUACACAACAUAUUUUCCUUAUUUACCAGCCCACUAGUAUCCAUGGGGAUCCAUAGGGGUCCCACUACCCGUUAACCCUUAACACUUGAAAUCAGAUUCCAGGGCCGUCCCCAUACCCCGUCCGGUAUGGGUGCCAAAACACAUAAAGUCUCCAUACCCCGUCCGGUAUGAGAGACCACAAUCCCGGUAGGGUUCCCUACGGACCUGGUCCGUCCACCAUCUCCCAGGAUAUCUAGUCAGGCUGACCACAUUAUACAAUUAUCAAUUUACAUAACCUUUCAUUUCCCUUUUUCCUUAGUCAGCAUCAUCAAUUUACAUACAAACAAGCAAACAGUAAUUUAUGCCAAACAAGAUAACAUACAGCAUCGGUUUCUCAGUCAUUCAACCCAUAAUCAAUGAAACAGUGAUACAUGCACACGAAACUAUGAAAUAAAAACAUCAGACAUCAUACUGCAUUUAAAACUGUAAAAUAGAACAAACAACAACUGACCGACAAAUACACUAGACUCGGACUCCAUUAGCAACUUUAAACAAUUUCACACAGCUAUUGAUUCAAGAAAUACCGUUUUAUCAUUAUUGAACUUUAAUACCGUGAUAGGAAAUAGGAUGAGGGGUCCUUACUCGUUUCGGGGUCCGAACACGGCUUCACAGUGCGCCUACAGGCUGUCCCUAAUUUUCCCUGAAUUUUUUCCGGGAAACUGAAACGCACUACUGGUACCUGCACGUGUUCCAAAAAAUCCCAAAUUAGGCCCAGGGCCCCUUUUUGGCCAAUAUCGCAAUUCUGGUACGGCGGCUCCGUCGUGCUCCGGCGGCGAUUCGCCUCGGGUUGGCCGUUUUCAGCCGUUUCCUGCCGAAUUCGGCCACACUUGCAUCGGUCCUUGCGAUAAAACAACCCUAGGGCCCUCGGGGGGCCAAAAAAUUACGGAAAAUCGAAGCUUACCAGCGGCGGUGCUCUCGGGUGUGGCGGCCAGCUUCUCCGGCGUCUGGUUCGUCUUCUCCGGCGAGGGCAGGCGGCUAGGGUUUUUGUGGUCAGGUGUGGGGGUUCUAUUUAUACCCUUUUGCCUUUUGAUCUCAGCCGUCCAUUUUGAUUUAAUCUGGACCGUCCGUUUUUGAUUGAAUCUGGGUCGUCCGUGCGAUUGCAUCUGGGCCGUCCGUGCGCACGCUUGAUCUGGGCCGUCCGAUCGCGCAUACGCGGAUCGCUAACGUGGCCCGUCCCCGGUCGACGUGGUCUUGCCACGUGGCAGGUCCUGGUUAGCCAGGACUGCUGACUGGGUCUACUGACGUGGCGCUCUUUUUUUUCAACUUAAUAAAAAUAUUUAAUAAUAAUAGUGAUAAUUUGAUUAUAAUCAUAAUUAUGUUAAGGCUAGACGGGACAUUGCAAGAAAUGGAAUUAACCUAAUUAUGUUUUACUUUCUUUUUGUUUUAAAUACCCUAAAAUAAUUAUUUUGGAUACUUAAACUUUUAACUUUCGUUUAAAUUAAUAUUUACCUCGAUUUUUUAAUUUUUCAAAAAUUAUCCUUUUAGUUUUUUUCAAUUAUUUUUUGUUAACCCCGUUUAAAUUAAAUUUCAUUUGGUAAUUAUUUAUUAUUAAUAUCCUUAAAUUAAAUAUUAUGUAUUAAAUUUAUAAUGGGGUUUUAAAAAAAAAUUUAAUUAUAUUUUUAACCGCGACUUGGGUUUUUAGAAGGAAAAAAAAAAAAAAAUCCUCUAAUUUCCCUCUUCCUCCGGUGUCGUCUUCCAUCAUAAACUUGUCCACUCCAGGUGAACAUUGAUACUCGCAAACCUUUCUGCCUCAACCUUUCCAUCGGCAAUGGGAAGAAAUACAAAAAUUCAGAUGUGGUGGCAAAAUAAUGGUUGGGUUGGCGUUGAGGCGAGAAAAACUGGCGAAAAAGACGAAAAAGAUACAGUGAAAAAGAGAUGGUGGGGUUGAAGGUCAUUCCACGGACCAUCCAACGAGAUAGCUACUUCCAAAUCUUUCCUGACAAACACUCCUUGGGUCAAUAGAUCCAUCUUCAUCACCCGAUUAUACUCGUCUUUGCCAUUCAGGAAAAAGUCGAGAGAGAGAUUUUCCUGAAUGAAAUCUUGAUGUUAUUUUCUUUGUUGGUUAUAUUACAGUGGCACAGAAGUCCAGGAAAGACAGGAUCUCAUUUCAAUCCGUAUAGUGAUUUACUCGCACCUAAUGAGAGAAACCUUGUGAUAACUUCAACUUUGUGUUGGACUUUAAUGGUGGUUUUGCUCAUCUGUUUAUCUUUUCUGUUUGGUUCAAUCCAGAUGCUUAAACUCUAUGGCAUACCUUAUUUGCUGAGUGAGUCAAUCAAAUUAAAGAUUAUCAAGAUGAAGAUUGUCAGAUUAGCAAUCUGCUCUUUGGUAAUUUAUGCAAAUAUUCCAUCAUAUCAGAUUUUUAAACCAUCUUGUAGAAGCGGUAUAAAUACUAUACAUCCCCAUUCACACACGCACAGACAUAUACACCAUUAUUGCCUGGGAAAUUUAGAACUAAAACUUGCAUAAUUUUGCAUUGCGGACAAAGCAACAAAGACAUUAUGGGAAAGUAUAUUGCGAGCCGAGAAAAUCUGGGCUAUUCCAUUUCAUUUGUUCAAGAAUUUGAUGGGAAGUCUGAGACAUGAUCACUUCGUGGGCGGUACUGCAGAUGUUGUGUUCUGCCAGACUGAUCCAAGACUUUUUAAAGAUCUUUCAAGCAAGCUCAAGAACCGAGUCUAUUUUAAAAGAACUCAUCAACUGGAAAGAUGGAACUUUUGCUUAGAGAUCACUUGAUUCCUUUACCCUCAAGCUAGUCUCAGAUCAAAACUAUGAAUUACCACAAGAACUUCAACCUUUUUUCAUUUCUCUCAAGGUAAGAAAAGAGAGAGUGAAAAGUUCUUGACGGGCCCCAUUAACUGGUUGCUAGUUGAUUAAGUGAAAAGAAGUUCACAGAGGCCCAUGGCAAUCGUCAUUUCCCUUCGUCAAGCCCGUCUUGCAAAAACAUACUUUUUUGUAUCUAACAAUUGAUUUUUACAGAAACUUUUAUUUUAAACCGAAAGCCACAUUUUUAUCCAAGCAUAAUGAACAUGAGCCCAAGAAAUAUUAAAAUUUUAUUUGUUUUGAAAUUUCAAUUCUAUAAAAUAUGAAUAAAAGGGUAAAAUAUAAAUAAAAUAAUAACUAAAUAUAUCUCUCUCUCUCUCGAAAUUUUGAUCCAAUCCAAACCCAAUAAAAUCUGAGUCGACCCGAUCCACUGGGCAAGAUUCGGGGAGAAUAUGGCAUAAUAAAUUACAGAGGGCAGAGAGUUCAAAACUCCAAACACGGCAGAGCAGGGAAAGCAGAAGUGUGUGGUCGGCAAAGAGCAGUACAUUAACCUUCUUUCCCAGACAAUAUCACUUCACCCUCACGUCACAUUUUGCUUUUUACUUUUAUGUUAUUUUCAAAUUUUACUGACAAAAAAGUCAAAUAUAUCUGCCUGCGACCUCAACAGACUUCCCAUCAACUUUUUCAAUUCACAUAUAUAUAUAUAUAUAUAUAGCACGAAUCCAAUUCCAUUCUCCAUGCACUAAACAUGCAUUUAGGUUUAUAUGUAAUCCAUGCAUUGUUAUAUUUCCACGUGUACAUUUUAUUUAUAUAUAUAUGUGUGUGUAUAAAUGCUUUUGUAAAACUAACCGUAGUCCAUUUAUGUAUGAAAUGAUUAACUACUAACCUGAUGUAUUGAAUUGAUAAAAUCAAUUUGUAUUUAUCUUUUCAACUUGGUGUAAUUUGAAUUUAUCACUAAAUAUUUACAUGAUGUUUGAAAUAAAUCUUAAGAUUUCAAUUAAACUUAUUUAGAAUCACACACUUGAUUACUGUCAUGAGAUUAAAUUUUUAUUUAAAACGUGAUAAAUUUUUUAAUCAUGAGAAAACUUUAAAAUAAAAUUCAAACAAUAUUUUGAAUUUCAUAGAAAUAUGAAUUCAAUUUUUGUUAUUUUACUUUUUUUUUUUUUUACUAAAGCAUGUGUAAAUUUUUAAAUACAUCCUACAAAAAUUUAUGAAUUUUUUUUACCAUAGCCGUGUCUAAUUUAAAAUUUUAUUACUAGUUUUUAAAAGAAAAUAAAUGUUUCUUAUUUAAAAUGUAUUUAUUAAUUUUUUAAAAAAGAAAUCAACACCAAUAAAUUUAGGGUUCAUAAGAAAUAUCAAUACUCACAUUUGGGUUAUUUUAAAGAAACAUAAAUGCAAGAAAAUAUCAUGUUUUAUUUUCACUUUACAAAAAUAUAACUAUAUAACAUAUGAAUUUAACAUUAUUUAAAAUAAACAAUGGGUAUUAUAGAAAUAAAAAUUUAUAAAAUUACCAAUAUAGCUCUUCUUUUUCUUCUCCAAGCUUGAUUGCACUAGGAAUUUUAAAUUCAAUUCAUAUAGCAUUCAAUAAUUUUGUUUUUUUUUUAAAUAAAAAUAAAAAAAAAAGAUGUUAAAUAAUAUGUUAAUAAACAUCUCAAUCAUGAAAUUGCACAUGAAUAACAUGUCCUACCACAAGUAUCAUCCACAAAUCAUUUAUCACAUCAACUCAAAGAAAAAGAAGGAAAACAAAAUUAAAAAUUAUUAAUAUGUACAAAAAUCUCACUAUUUCUGAAAACUAUCAGAAUUUAAUUUAAAUACUUAAAUAAUAAACAAGUAAUUAAAGAAAUUAAUCUAAAACUAAUUGAGUCUAAUCACCUCUUCACUAUUGUUAUUCUACUCAAAAAUCCUAACAGUGUACGUAAUUCCUUUUAAUGAUCAACUAGUUCAUUAUACAAAUCCUUAAGCUUGGUUAAUUAGUUUCUUUUGAUGAUCAACUACCAUUGAUGUACAAUGUCUAGAUCGAUCGAUUCACGAUUAUGCACUAUAUAAACUAUUACGAGAAUUAAAAUUUUUACAAUGCUUACUAUUAUUGUAAUUUAUUAUAAUUUUUCUUUUUUUAAAUACUUUGAUUUCUCAUUAGCUCUUUACGGUAUUUCUGUUUCUGAUUCUAUUUUAGUUAUUAUUCUCAUUUCGAUUCAAUUUAUAUUUUCUCUCUACAUCUCUCUCUUGGAAUGUCUAAAGCUUACUAAUGCUAGAAAUUUGACUAAUUGUAACAAACGGUGUAGCACCCGGAAAAAAAAAAAAAAAAAAAAAAAAGGCCACGUCAGCAGCCACGUCAGCAGGCCCGGUCAGCAGUCCCGGCCAACCAGGGCCUGCCACGUGGCAAGAUCGCGUCACUCCGAAAGGAGCCACGUUGGCGAUCCGCGUGGGUGCGAUCCGACGGCCCAGAUCAAUCGCGCGAUCGGACGGCCCAGAUUCAAACGCAUGGACGGCCCAGAUUCAAUCAAAAACGAACGGCCCAGAUUAAAAUGAAAUGAACGGCUGUGAUCAAAAGGCAAGGGGUUAUAAAUAGAACCCCCACACCAGACCACAAACCCUAGCCGCCAGCCGCUCGCCGGAGAAGACGAACCAGAGGGCGACCGCCGCCACCCGCCGCCACUCGCCGCCGCACCGGGGAAAUUUCCGACCGCCGAUCGAGGUAAAUUUCAUACCCCCGACUCGUUUUUCUCCGCUGAUUCCUCCUAUGGCCAAAUCGAGGCCGAAAUCCCGGCCAAACGGCCGAAAUACGCGGUCGAAGCCCAGCGGCGCCGCCGCGCCCCCUCUCGGUUUUUGCCUCCGACGAGGUCCUUCCCGGCCUCCGUUCGAUGCAAUUUUUAUAUCACUGUGAUCACCAUUCUUUUCACUACAGGUUGACCGAAGCCGAAUCACCAAAACACGAACCUCGCCGGAGAGCCACCGUACCCGAGAGCGCCGCCGCCGGUAAGCUCCGCUUUUCCGUGAUUUUUUGGCCCCCCGAGGGCCCUAGGGUUGUUUUCUGACAAGGACCAAUGCCAGUGUGGCCGAAUUCGGCCGAAAACGGUCGAAAACAGCCAACCCGAGGCGACUCGCCGCCGCCAGCGGCGGCGCCGUCGCCGGAGCACGGCGGAGCCGCCGUGCCGGAGUUGCGAUUUGGGCCGAAAGAGGCCCUGGGCCUAAUUUGGAUUUUUUUGGAACACGUGCAGGUACUCUUAGUGUGUUUCAGUUUCCCGGAAAAAAUUCAGGGAAAAUUAGGGACGGCCUGCAGGCGCACUGUGAAUCGUAUUCGGAUCUCGAAAACAAGUAAGGACCCCUCACCCUAUUUCCUAUCACGGUAUUAAAGUUCAAAAUGAUAAAACGGUAUUUCUUGAAUUAACGAAUGUGUGAAAUUGCUUAAGGUGGCUAAUGGAGCCCGAGUCUAGUGUGACUGGUGAUUUACUGUUAUUUGGCAUGUUUACAGCUUUAAAUGCAAAAUGAGGUUUGAUGUGUUCAUUCUACAGAUUUGUGUGCAUAUACUACGUUUUUAUUAAUCGUGGGUUGAAUGACUGAAAAACUGAUACUGUAUAUUGUCUGUUUGGUAUGAAUUACGAUUUGCUUAUUUAAAUGUGAAUUGAUGAUGCUGAUUGAGGAAAAGGAAAAUGAAAGAUUGUGUAGACUGAUAAUUGUAUUAUGGGGGUCAGCCUGACUAGAUAUCUUGGGAGAUGGUGGACGGACCGGGUCCGUAGGGAACCCUACCGGGAUUGUGGUCUCACAUGCCGGACGGGGUAUGGAGAUCUUAUGGUUUUGGCGCCCAUACCGGACGGGGUAUGGGGACGGCCCGUUUCACCCUCAUACCGGACGGGGUAUUGAGGUUUAUGGUUUUGGCGCCCAUACCGGACGGGGUAUGGGGACGGCCCUGGAAACUGAUUAUGAAUGUUAAAGGUUAACGGGUAGCGGAACCCCUAUGGACCCCCACGGAUACUAGUAGGCUGGUAAAUGAGAAAAAGAUAUGUUGUACAAUGAUUGAAUUACAAGAGGCGUGAUAAGUGUUAUGUUUUACAGCUUAGAUUAUUCAAUGAUUAUGAUAAUGUUAUUGUUUUUCUCAUAUUGUUUUCAUAAAUUCCACCAAGAUAAGUGGAUGGUAAAGGUUUUCAUGUUAAUAAACGAGUUUGUUGUAAAUUAUGCUCCAUUGGUUUUUUUGUGUUUUUCUACCCACCUUUAUCUCCGUGACGGUGAGAUAUCGUGAUGUUCUUACUGGGCUAGUGUAGCUCACUCCUUAAUUAACCAUUUCAGAUCAGGAAGACAUGGUUCCCGAGCUCGUUCCGCAGGAGGACGACGAAGGAGAUGCCUAGAGACUCUGUAGUCAUACGCAUAGUUUAUUUUCGAGUUUUCUUUCUUAGUUAGUUUAACCUUUUAUAUUUUAAGUACGUUUUUGGUUUUUCGUGUAAGGGAUGUUAACUGAAAUUUUGAUCUCGCUUCCGCAUUCGAUAUAUUUAAAUACUCAUUUCUUUUUAAUAUUUUCCGGGGUCGUUACAAACGGAGUAAAGCAGCCAAGGAACAAAAGAAUUUAAAAAAAAAAAAAAAGAGUCAUUUAGUUGGAAGAAAUUUAAAGUUAGAAAAUAAUUUUUGGAAGCGCGAGAGAAGAGGAAAAAAUAACCUAAUGGUAAAAGAGAUAUUUACUCUUCCAUUUGAGGGUAAACUGUGUAUUUUAUGUUUAAUUUAACAAAUUUUAUUUUUAGUAGCAGCAAGAUUUAAUUCAAUUAUAUUUAUUUUAUAAUGGUAAUAAAUUUUCCAUAAAUUUAAUUUAAAUCACUGAAAACUAGAAGAGAGGAAACUGAAGUGCCCCAGCCCCACACCACUGCUCUGUUCUUUUUGGCCACCUGCGCGGCUCAUCAUUCAUCAAUUGCAGAUCCUGCACUACCCUCUCCGCUAAAUUUUGCAACCUCUUAUAUAGUUUUGAAUAAAACAUAUAUUUGUAUAUCCAUAUCUUUUUAAUUUAUUGAAAUUAAAUGUGUUAAUAAAAUAAUAAAUAAUAACAAUAUAAUUUAAUUGAUUAUUUAUUUGAAUUUUUGCUAGGAAAAAAAAGGGACCUGUGGGUUUAUGGUUUAAUUAUCAAUUUUAUUUUCUAAAAGCAAACCCAGAAUUUCUGAGAUGCUAAACCCACCAAUGAAACACGGACUAGACAAGAAUUUGCAAAAGAAAUUGACUUCUCACGGCGCGUGCAAACAUUGUCCUCCCUUCCCUGUUCAUGUCUUCUCCCACCCUUUUGCCAUCACCACCACCUUUCUUUAUUCAAAUGCGUAGCCCGCCACCAUCCACAUUCAAAAUUCCUUCUCUUUUUACCUUUUUCAUGCCAUUGCUUUUCCCUUUUUCUCAACUUUCACGCUUGAAAAACUUCAAAUUUUGAAAUACCCACAACCCAAAAAUCUUUUCUUCUCUUUCAACAAUUCGUUUUCUCGUCUGGGUUCUUCAACUUUUUCAUGAAUUUGGCCCCUAAUCGUUUCUAUACUUUUAGUAAAUCACAUUGUUCGUGUUUAAUUUAAUUGGCAUUGCGAAAGUUUCCUUUUUUAGGAGGGUUUUGACUGGUGAUUUAAGACAUCAUGAAGUUCUUAUCCCAUUCUUCUUCAAUCUCAUCAUCUUCAUCUGUUUCUUUUGAUCCCAACAUGUGCACUUCAAAAAGUGCCACCGCCGGAUGUCUUGCCGGAAUCUUGCGACGAAUUCUCUGCUCCGGCAGCCUCCCUACACACCCAUCGGAUCACAUUACAGAACCCAAUUCAAUUCCGUGUGAUCACCCUCGACAAGAUUUCAACUUUAAGGCUGAGCAGGAUCCCAAGGUGAGUCCAGGGAUUGUGGCAAGGCUUAUGGGUUUGGAUUCAAUGCCAAACAUCAACUUGGUUAAUACCCAACUGAAUCCUAAUUCAAUCACAAGAAGCAGAUCAUUGAAUUCUGUUGAUUACAAAGCAUCAGAAAAUGAGUAUCACUUUCAAAAAAAUCUCCACAGAAGGGUCAAAUCGUCGUUAUCAUUUAGAGAGAUGCCAAGUUUUGUUGAGCUUGAGACAGAGGAGUUCUUCAUACUCAGCUUUGAGAAUGAAAAUGAAAGAAGAGAAUUCACGCCCAAAAAGAAGAAAUCUGAAAAGGGUUUUGGGGAAUUGAAGCAGAGAAGGAAAGAGAAAUCUGAAAACAGAGAAAAGAAAAAAGAGGAGUUGAUCAGAAGGAACAACAGGACUUUUUUGAACUUAUCAAAAGAGAGCAAAGCCUCUGUAAAGCCUAUGCAAGAAGCUGCAGAUUCUAGCAGAACUAAAAAUUCAAACACUUGUUGUUCAUCUGAUAAUUAUAGUGAAGAAAUUAAUGUUGCUUCGAGGGGUUUAAGCAGCUCAGAAACCAGUUAUCAUGAGGAAGUUCUAAGUGAAACUGAAUCAAACAAGAAGAAGAUGAUGAGGAGGAGGAGGAAGAAGCAGAAAAGGCAUCACUUCGUGGAUAAGAGCAUUGAAAAUGAAACCAGCUCAGAGGAUUCUAGCCCUGUUUCUGUUCUUGAUUUUGAUAAAUUCAUCAUUGAUCAAGAAUUACCCACAUCAGGUUAGUAAAUCAAAUUCAAUUCUCAUUCAUGAUAUGCCUUGAUUAUACAGUUUUUAUAUGAUUUCACAUUUAAAUCAUAGUUAGUGUAAGUUCUAAUUAUCAUAUCUCAUAGUAAUCUCAACAUACCUAAUCAUAAAAUAUUUUAUUAAUUUUUCAAUUUUGGUUAAACAAAUUCAAGUGACAUUUUGUAAUGAGGGAAAACUCCCAUCAAUAAUACUCAAAAUUUUUACUUUUUUUAACAUAAAUAAAUUUGUGUUCUAAAAUGCUUACUUCUUUUGUAAAUUGUUCGAAACAGAGAAAGAUCCAAGACAGGAAGAGUCAAACCCAAGAAGGAAACUUUGCCCAGAGCUUCAAAUCUACAGACAAUUAUCCCAAAAUGCUGGUAGCAAUUUGAUGGAAGAUGAUUUAACACCAAACAAAAUUCGAUCAAGAACAAGAGAUGGGGUAAACCAGAUUUAUAUAGACAUGUGGGGUGAAAUUUGCAGGAUGACUGAAACUGAGGUUGCGGAAUCAAAUUGGGUAAACAAACAAGUUUUGAAGAUUCAAGAUGAAUUAAAUGCAGAUUUUGAAUCACAGAUUCUUGAUCAAAUGUUAGAGGAGAUAGUGAUUCAACUUGCUGAAUUUCCCAUUAAAGCCUUAUACUAGUAAGUUGUUGUUAAGACUUGAAUCCACCCUGUUAAUUUUUUUUACAUGUAAAAUUGUAAAUUAAUAUAUGAUAAAUAAUCUUUUUUGUUUCUAUUCUUAGUUCUUGUUUGGUCAAUUAAGAAGAAUUUAAAUUUAAAUUCUGCAAGAAUCAUUAGGUUAUAGCAGUUAAUGAUGUACCUAGCAAAAUAUUCUGCAUUUAAAUCUCAUGGAAAAAGUUCAAAAUGUAUAUUAAAUAAUCAGUUCAACUACUUUAAGACUUCCUGCUUUUCCUUAAGCAUCAAUCAUGUCAUUAUUCUAAAAUCAUAUAUAUGCAUAUUUAUGUCUAUAUAUAUAUAUAUAAACAUAUACUUAUAUGUGGACCUAUCUCAUCUGUAUAAAUUUAGGUAGAUGGAUAAUUGUCAAAAGCUUGGUGUGACUCAAAUUCCAAGAUGCCAACUUAUAAAUUAUUUUUUUGGGAAAAAGAAUCAUAAAUGAAGUAAAGAAAAUUCCAACUAUAAGUAACGAGUAGGUAUGAAUCGUAAGCAAUUUGUUAUAUUGUGAUAAACAGCACUGUGUUUAAAUAAAUGUAAGUUGAUGGAAAAAAAAAAGAUUAACUAAUUAUUUAUUUAUAUUGUACUACUGUGUAUGUGUCUAACCAUAUACUUACAACUAAACAUUCCUCUAUAUAUAUAAUAUACAUAUAAGCACGUAUAUCAAACAACCACAGGAAGAAUCUUGAUAAUACCAAUGAUUUUGAUUUUUGUGUGGAUAAUUUAUGAACCUUGAAAUCGGCCAAUUAAUUCCAAAAAUAAGAGAGAGAGAGAGAGAUCCUGACAAAUCCAAUUUCCAUAGAAUCACAAUUUCUAAUCCAUACAAUUCAUUUAUUCCCUAAUUUAUGAAAGUUGGUAAAUUGGCAUAUAUGGUUUUUACAAGGGUAAAACCAAAACCAGAAGGGGAAAGCAACCAAAGUUUCAUAGCCUGAGUGGAUGAAAUUUCAACCCAAUUUUCAAUCUCAACAAUAAAAAGAGAUUUAAUCUUUUAGAUUUUAGCACAAAACCAGUUGGAUUAGGUAUCUACUCCUCUAUUUUCCCAGGCAAAAAAAAUUGAUCUUUACAUAUAUUCAUCACCAAAAACGGAACAAACAUACAUAUGUAUGUAUACAUAUGUUGAUAAACCUCUCAACUUAGCAGCUCUCUCAAUUCCUGUGUUUCUUUCUAGUGCUCAUCCCACUAAUUUCCAAAGACAAAAAGAAAAAGUUAAUGAGAUGACACAAAAGUUGAUAAGGUAACACUUAGAGGAAUACCCUUUUCUCACUAGUGCUAAAUAACCAUCUCAAUUGAGAUUCAUGGAAUCAAUGCAACAUCAUCAGUUUACACUUUUGAAUGCCGAAAGUAAUAUAGACAAUUCCAAAAGGUAAUUAAGUUCACAGCACUUCGAAAAGAUAAAAGAAGGUCGAAUGGUAAUCUUAUCACCACACAAAGAAAAUCUUGUUUCGGUAAUCAGAACUUGCGAAGAACAUGUAUAUAUAUAUAUAUAUAUAUAGGAUAAGGAGCUUCAUUAACGUAAAAUAUCUGGGUACAUACUGUAUACUACCCACCAUGAAAGAAAAAAAUAAUAACAAACCAAGGAAAUGGUGUAUUCCAGAUUUCAAUUGCAAAUUGAAAGCAUUAAACUUGUGGGGGUUUGAGCUGAUUUAAUCCCUAUAUAUUAUCAUCAGCAGAUUAUCAUUCUGACCCACAACGUUUUUCUACUAGACAAUGAAGUUUAAAACUCUAACCAACACAGGAAUCCAACAAGAAGAUUACAGACUAAAAAUUCUUAUCCUAAAGGCAUUUGCAGAAAUGUUUUAUACUGCUCAAUUUGUUGAGACACUUUUAUGGGCAUAUCCUUUUUGUUUUCUCCCUCUUGUUCGACUGGUCUUGAUGAAUAUUAAUAAAGAUUAAAAAAAUAACCAAAAGAAACUAGUUAAAAAGGUUAAACUGAGGACCAUUAAAGAGGCUAAUUUUCUUUAAGCCACCAUCUGUUCCUGCUCCAUGUACAACUGCUCCACCCAAGCAGGAAGUGCCUCUGAACCACCACUGUUAAGAUGACACUGCUGCUGUUGCUGUUGUUCUUCGAAAUCAAAUUGCCCAGGUUUAUCUAGAGGGGUGUCCUUCACCAAGGACUGAACCCAAGAUACAUCAGGCUCAUCAGCUAUUGCAGGCAUUAAGGAUGUAGCUGCAGAUAAACUGCUUCCACCAUUUCUGUACCCAAAUGAAGCAGAUUUCCGCAGCUUGUUCAGCUCUUCUCCCUGGAUACCCCAGUCCAAUUUUCCAUCCGGGGAACCCCAAUCCGAAAGAUUGGAAGUCAUUGUACUAACUGAAGAAACUGGGGAAGAAAACCCAGAAUGCCGGUUCACUGCACUUCGUUCAAUGAAACUCUGGCUUCGUUUUGCAAAGGCAGCUGACCUUGAACUCAAAACUGCUGCUGCAGAUGACCCAGAUGGAUCAAUGCCAAAGGAUGAAGAAGAUCCUCUUACUGAAGAUGGUGAGAGGUUAGUUGGGUAGCUCGAGCGGAGCUGCUGGUUGAUGUUCUGGCGUAUCUGCAUCCCAGCGGAAGACUGCAGCUGAGAAGCUGCAGCUUCAAGAGAGAUUCCCUGUAACUGAGGCAAAAUCAUAGGAUCAAGAGAUCCAAAAAUGUCAUCNNNNNNNNNNNNNNNCAAGCCUAUUCAGCUCUCCACUUCGAUCAACAGAAGGAGAAAAGGACGAGGCAGAUGUGAAGCCAUUGUUCCAGCUGGAUGGGGAGGAAAGACCAGAUAUCUCAUCAAUUAGUUGCUGCUGCUGCUGCUGCCUACGACGUUGACUCUCUAGGUUGAGUAGGUCAAUGUCUAAAUCCAUAUCUCUGGCACUGAUAGCAGAUUUCAAUCUACUCCCAGGAAGUUGCAAGGUAGGAGGAACAAAACUAGACUGAGUCUGCCACAUAUUUCCACCCCUAGGAGAAGAUGCACCAGAAGGGGUUAAAGGCGGGGUUGAUGUAGGAGGUAUUAUAACGGAUGGAGAAUCAAGAGCAAGGGGGCUAAUGGAGCCUAAAUCAAGUGAAGAGCCACUGGCUGAAUAUGACCGCGGAGAAGGCACCCCUGACCCAGUUGAGGUAUACAGGGGCCUCAGCUCUUCUGGCUUGUGAGCAAAGAAACAUACCCUCCUAGUACAGUUUGUCUCAUCUUUGCACAGCCGUGUCCGGUACUGUGCAGGAUGAAGCCAGCACUCAAAGAUACCAUGUGCAUACUCACAGGCAUCCCCUUGCCUGCAUGAACCCUUUCGAAAUUCAGGACAUGGGACACAACUAUAGUGGUAUUUCCUUGGAUCACGCCUCCUUGCAUUUUCCCCAGGAUGAACAAAUGGGCACUCAGUCCAAUCAUGGGAAUAAGCCCUUGAACAGGGUUUGACCUUGAAAGUAUACAUUCUAAAUUCAUCAGUCCCAUAAAUUCCAUUCUUUAUAUCUGGAAGGGUAAGAUCAACUGGAUACUCCUUCUUCUCAGAAACCUUAGGAGUCGAAAUCUCAAGCUGUUCUUGCACAUCAGUUUCAUUAACCACUUUAUCAGGCAAGUCAUAUGUUUCCUCAACACCACUUGCACCUUUCAGCAAAACCUCCAAUGUCUUCUUCCUCGAACUGAAAGCCAAAUCACAAACUGGAGCAAUCAAGUCACCAGGUCUGUUUCCACUAGCAUCAAGAACACUGGCAUCAGCAGAAGCAGCAAGCAGGACCUUGACAACCUCAGGGGACGCAGCAGAGCCACCAGCAGCAGCACAAUGAAGCGCGGUGGCCCCAUCAGAGCCACAAACCCGGUUAACAUCAACACCACCACUUUCGAUGAUAUAAUUCAACACAUCUUUGCUUCCAAACAUGGCAGCAAUCAUAAGAGGCGUCCUCUCCUCAAAGGCCAUCUUUUUCGAGCCAAUCCUCCUCCCAUACCAUAAAGUUGAUUUAUCAAUAUCAAGACCCAUUUCCUCAAUAGCGGUCUUAAAUCCAGUCAGAUCAUUUGCAGCAGCAAAUUCAAGCAAAACAGAGAAAUUGAAGGAAAAUCCAUCUUCUUUACCCUCCAUAAUAUAACCAGUUUGAGUUGGUUUCCUCUUUGAACCGCUGCACAUGGAAAUCUCUUUACUUUUCAGACACCUCUCACAAUCUCCUUCUACAAAAUUGUAUGACAAAGAAUUAAAAAACAUUUACUAACGAUGAUAGAAAACGUGGAUCUUUUCAACUUUUCAAAGCAUAAAACUUUUUCCUACAAUCCAAACAAGAAUCGAUUUUCCAAUACUGGAAAUUUUAAAAAAUAAAUAAAUAAAUGAAUCAAUAAAUAAGAGACCCACAAAACAAAAGAUCAAUCAUUCAUAAAAUUAAUGAACCUAAACAGGACCAGAACUGAAAAAAUUAAUAACAAUAACAAUUGAAUUCAGAGAUAAGCGCUCAAAUCUCCAAACACCCAAUAAUCAAAAAAAAGUUCGAUAACAGUAAAAAAAAUUAUCUAAAAUUAACCUAAUAACUAAACAGAAAUCCGUUACCACCUUAACAAACAAGAGAGUAUUUAAAAAAAAAACAAAACAAAACAAAAAAAAACCUCAACGAUCACAUUUACACAACAUCUCAACUGUUAUGUUCCUAAAAAAUAACGAAAACAUAAAACCCCAACACUAACAUCUCCCAGAAUUCCAGAAAUAGCAAACUUAGAAAUAACCAAAAUACAAGACCAUCUCUCCAAAUUCCAUCCCUUUUUUCCCUCAUUUUCUCACCCACCAAGCAAAACCCCUCACCAACUGAAACGAACAAAUGAAAACCCAAGAAACCAAAAGCGACAUACCUUACAAAACAGCAAAAAAUGACACCAGAGCCAGAAGCAAACCCCGAAUUUGUUUCUUCAGUUUCUAUGACACGACUGCUUUUCUUUACUAUAAAACCAAAGCCGAGAGAGAGAGACAGAGAGAGAGACCUUUUCUCGUCUCUCUUUUUAUUGGGUGUUUUUCUUAUUUUCUUUUUUAUUUUUUCUAUCAAAGGUCAAAAAGGAAGAGCCUGUGAAGCUACUCCAAUGACUCCUGUUAUUAACCCAGAAGGAAAUUUUUUUAAAAAAUAAAAUAAAUAAUUUAUGUUUUAGAAAAAGGGGAGAGAAAAAAGAAAAAAAACAAAAACAAAAAGCCCCAACUUUACUUCCCUCUUAAAAAAUGAAAUUCAAAUUCAAAUGCAAAUGAAAUGCAAAUGCCAAUGUUUAAAAAUAACUGGGCCCACCAGCUUCUUAAUAUCUAAACUGACAACGAGUCUAAGAUGGACACGUGGCGUGUGGUGCGUAGAAUCGGCAUUAGCCGAGGUGGGCCCCAUCGAGAUUCCGGAUUGUCACGCCUUACGCGUUUUUGGCUUCGGGUGGAUGACGUGGACAACCCUGCACCGUCAGCAUGUUUUUUAAAAUGAACUACUUUAUUCGUUGUGAAAUUCUGAUAAGUUCACUGCCUGUCACUUGCGUAAAUGACACCGGCGUUUUAUGAUUUACGGUAACUGUGCAGAGUGGCAUUGAUGAUUUGCUUGUCGUUGUUGAAAAUAAGGGGCGGCUGUGAGAAUAAAAAACGUAGUUGGAUAUUGUUGUGACAAGUGCACUGAGGCUAUUUGGAAAGCAUCGACGAAUCGGAGCGUUUCGAUGGUCUCUAGAACAAGCCUGUCGUUGGUUUUAAGGUUCACAAUAAAAAUUUAAAAAAAAAAAAAUUGGCCUUUUUUAUUUUUAAAAGAAUUGAAUUUAAAUUUUGAUAUUUAGCACUUAAAUAAAUCAUCCCAAUUAUUUUUUACCUGCGGGUGAUAAAAAGAUUUUACAAAACAAAAAAAUGAUGACAAAAUUACUAAUUAUUUAUGAAUGUUAUUUUUUACGAAUGUUUUUUACAGCCCCAAUAGUAAAAAGUCGUAGCAAUUGAACCUCCACCUCUCUAAUAGAGAAAGAAAGAAAAAAAAAUCAUCCUAAUCCUUAAAAGAUGAGUUAAUUUUUUUAAUGACUAUUAACAACCUUAAUUUUAACCUCAAAUGUAUAGUUAAUAUGUUAUACGGGAUUUAACUCGAAAAUUUUAGUUUAAAAAUAUAUAAUAUGUUAAUGGUUGAAUAAAAUAUAAUAUAUUAAAGUUAAUUUAUAAUUUUAUGAAUAACGACGUAACCAUAUUGGUAUUUAAGUAAAUUCAUUAUUAAAUUUUGUUGAUAUGAUUUAUAUGUAAAUAUCAGGAUAAUAAUUGUACGUCAUAUUUUAUAUAGUAUAUAUUUUUAUUAGAAAAAAAAAAGUAAAAAACUGAUAUUUUUAACUCUUUCUUAUUCUCUAACUCACCCGCCACGUGUCCUCCCAUCGUCAAAUUCUUUUGGCAUGCCAGUUUCAUCUCUAUCCCCCUCUUCCUACCCUAUAAUCAUUAGGAUAUAAGUGUANNNNNNNNNNNNNNNNNNNNNNNNNNNNNNNNNNNNNNNNNNNNNNNNNNNNNNNNNNNNNNNNNNNNNNNNNNNNNNNNNNNNNNNNNNNNNNNNNNNNNNNNNNNNNNNNNNNNNNNNNNNNNNNNNNNNNNNNNNNNNNNNNNNNNNNNNNNNNNNNNNNNNNNNNNNNNNNNNNNNNNNNNNNNNNNNNNNNNNNNNNNNNNNNNNNNNNNNNNNNNNNNNNNNNNNNNNNNNNNNNNNNNNNNNUACAAAAUUACAAUUUAACUCAAUGUUAAAAUGAACAUCAAAUGUAAUUCAAUUUCCAUUAACAACCCAACAAAAAAAAAAAAAAAAAGAAGGCACUUCUUUACUUUUCUAGAAGAACUUCGUUUUUUUAUAAGUUAAAAAUUAUUGACGAAUACGCAUUAAAUUUUUCACCUUAUAAAUAAUAAAUUAACGAACUAGAUUUUAAACAUACGCUAACUGCUACUUGUAACAAUUAAUAUUUCCCCUUUAUGUUUUUUCUUAUGUCUUAUUUGUUUAAUUUAAUAACUUUUAAAUGAUGAAGUUUAGAUUAAUCGCAACUAAUUAUCAUAUAAUUAGCAGCUUCGUUAGAUUUAUUAGAAAAUUUUAAGGUUGUCAUUAUCUGUAAAGACGCAUAACAUAAAUAAAAAUAACAAAAUUAUAAAUUAAAUACAGAAACAAAAUAAUAGAAUUAUGAUUUAUAUUUAUUACACAAUAAUUUAGAAUGCCAAUAAGAUAAAAGAAUAAACGAAAAUCAAAUAAAUAAACGAAAAACAAAUAACUAAAUAUCCUAUGACGACCUUCACUACCUUUUGAAUUGAGUUCGGGUAGUGAACUAUUUGCAACGCUCUUAUUGAUCAGGAUUUGAAUUUUAGUAUUCUUGAUUUAAAAUAGUUAACGAAUUGGUGAGUUAUACUAGCCCAGUAAGAAUAUCACACUAAUCAAAUAUACAAAAAAUCGAAAAUUGGUAAAAUUCAAAAAAAUAAUCAAUAGAGCCAUUAAUUUAUUAUAAAUUCAUUUACUAUGAAAAAAAUUAUUUAUUCUACAUUUAUAUAACAAGUCUCUCCCAACAAUAACUUAUGAAUACUCAUAUUCAUGCACAAUUAUUUAUCACAUAGAAAAUAACAAAAAAAAUGAUCAUUUUACAUUUUUUACCCACUUACCGGUAUCAUUGGGAGUCAUUAGGGAUGUCUUCCUACUCGUAAACCUAAUAUCUAAUUAAACAAUUAAUCGGUCAUCCCCAUACCCCAUCCGGCAUGCACGUCAAAUAUGUCACUACCUCGAUACCACGUCCGGUAUAAGAGUAAACCAUAUCUCCCAAACCUUUAUAGUAAGUGUAACACCCAAAAAAAUAAAUUUUUUUAUUUUUGGGUAUUGGAAUCUUUUUUUGGAUUUUAUUUUAUUUUAAUGGUUAAUUUAUUUUGUAAUAAUUAUGUUUUUAACUUAAUUUAAUUUAAUUUAAUAAUAAUAAUAAUAAUAAUAAUAAUAAUAUAUGGUAAAAUUAUUUUUAGGAUUUAAUUGAAGUUGAUUUUGGAAAAAAAGGUGAAAAUUUAGAUUAUGGGGGUGCUUUUGAAAGAAAAAUCAGAAACCGGGGGUCAAAAUGUAAUUUAUAAAAGUUGUGUCACGUCAGCAGCCCAGUCAGCAGCCCCGGUCAACCAGAACACGCCGCGUGCAAGGAAGUUGACGCGGAGACCACGCGAAACGAAGCCACGUGAGCGAUCUGCGUGCAUGCGAUCGAACGACCCAGAUCUCACGCACGCGGACGGCCCAGAUCUCACGUGCACGGNNNNNNNNNNNNNNNNNNNNNNNNNNNNNNNNNNNNNNNNNNNNNNNNNNNNNNNNNNNNNNNNNNNNNNNNNNNNNNNNNNNNNNNNNNNNNNNNNNNNNNNNNNNNNNNNNNNNNNNNNNNNNNNNNNNNNNNNNNNNNNNNNNNNNNNNNNNNNNNNNNNNGGAGCCGGCCGCCGCCACCUGCCACCGUACCAGAGGGUUUUCUAAUUGUCAAACAAGGUAAAUUUUCUCCUCUUUGCUCGUUUUUCGAUACUGAAUCUGUCUAUGGCCAAAUCGGAGCCAAACCAUCGGCUAAUCGGUCGAAAAAUACCGCCGAAGUCCAGCAGCACCGCCGCGGCUUCUCUCGAUUUUUGCCUCCAAUGAGGCCCUUUUCGGUUCCCGUUCGAUGCAAUUUUUACACCACUGUGAUCACCAUCAUUUUCUCUACAGGUUGACCGGAGCAAAACAUCAAACCGCGACUCGCGCCGGAGAAGCCGCCGCACCCGAGAGUUCCGCCGCCGGUAAGUCUCGAUUUUUCGUGAUUUUUUAGCCCACCAAGAGCCCUAGGGUUGUUUUAUCGCAGGAACCAAUGCAGGUUUGGCCGAAUUCUGUUGAAAAUGACCAACCCGUGGCGGAUCGCCACCACGAGCGGCAGUGUCGUUGCCGGAGCACGGCGGAGCCGCCGUGCCGAAAUUCUGAUAUUUGCCAAAAAGGGGCCCUGGGUCUAAUUUAGAGUUUUUUGGGACAUGUGCAGGUACCGAUAGUGCAUUUUCCAAAAAAAAUUUAAGAAAUUUAAGGACAGCCCGUAGGCGCAUUAUAAAGCCGAUUUCAGACCCCGAAACAAGUAAGGAUCUCUCACCCUAUCUCAUAUCACGGCAUUAAAGCUUAAUAAAUGAUUAAACGACAUUUUAUGAAUUCAUAAAUAUGUAUAAUUAAUUAAGAUUGCUAAUGGGGCCCGAACCUGAUGUAUUUAUCGGUCUGUUUCUAUUUGAUGUAUUUUACAGUCUAAAUACAGCAUGGUAUCUGAUGUAUUUAUUUUAUGGUUUCGUAUGCAUGAAUCACGGUUUUGUUUAUUAUGGUUUGAAUUAUUGAAAACCUGAUGAUGUGUUGUUUUGUUUGGUGUUCAUUACUGGUUUACGUGUUUGUGUAUAAUUAGAUAAUUGAGAACAGAAAAAAUAGAAAAAGGUAUGUGAAUUGAUAAAAGGAAAACGUGGACAGCUUGAGUAGAUAUCUUAGGAGAUGAUGGACGGACCGGAUCCGUAGGGAACCCUACCGGAAAUGUGGUCUCUCAUAUAGGACGGGGUAUAGAGACCUUAUGUAUUUUGGUGCCCAUACCGGACGAGGUAUGGGGACGACCCUGGAAUCAGGUUAUUAAUGUUAAUGGUUCACAUGUAGCAGGGACCCCCUAUGGAUCCCCAUGGAUACUAGUAGGCGGUAAAAGAAUAAAUUUGUUGUAUGAUUACUGAAGUGCAAAAGUAUGACAUGUGCUAUGUUACAAGAUGUAUAUGAUUUUACGAUGGUUAUAAUGCUAUUAUUUUCAUAUUUUAUUUUCACAAAUCUCACCGAGGUAAGUGGAUAGUAAAUAUUUUUAUUAUUAAUAAAUGAGUUUGUUAUAAAUUAUGCUCCAUUGGUCGUUAUUAUUUUUUGCCAACAUUUACUUCUGUGGCAGUGAGAUAGUGUGAUGUCUUUACUGAGAUAGUGUAGCUCAUUACUUACUUAACCAUUUCAGAUCAGGAAGACGUGGUUCCCGAGCCUGUUCUGCAGGAAGACGAAGAGUUAGACGCCUAAAGACUUUAUAGUUCUAUUUAUAGUUUUUAUUUCAAAUAUUUCUUUUAAUUAGCUUAUUCUUUCAUACAUUGAAUACGUUUAUGGUUAUUGUGUAAGGGAUAUGUUAAUCAGAAUUUUUAUUUCGCUUCCGUAUUUAAGAUUUUUAAUACAUACAUCUUCAUUUAAAUUUAUGGGGCCGUUACAGUAAGGGACUUCUCAACCCCGUCCGAUUAAGGUAACGUUCACGGUAGAGUUCUCUAUGUACCAGACCCGUUCGCCCUUUUCCGGAUACCCAUUAAGUUUUUUCUAUACAGAUUUCUAUCAGCAUAAUAAUCAACCAUGCAAUAACAAUAUCUCAUUUUAUACUCACCGUUCACUUAAACAAUAAUAUAGUUUCACAUUUCAAAUAAUAAAUGAUCGGGAUACCGACACGUAAUGCAGGAGAAAAAAAUAACGAAAUAACCAAAAAGACCUCAAAAAUCAUCAACUGAGUUACGCACAAUAUAAUAGUAAACAAAUAUAGUCAAUAUAUGAAAAUAAACAGGAAAUCGAAACGACUGUGAACUAACCGGUUCCGCCUCCAUUAGUAACCUAUAAUUAUUUUUAGAGUUAUCUAAUUUUUUAUAAAAAUAUAUAAUUAUUAAUUAUUAAGCUUCAAUUUGGCGCAACGGAGAAAAUGUUGAGGGAUCUUACCCGAAUCAGUGUUCAAAAUACUGAACUUUCUAUUGCACCUAUUGGCAGUCCUCAAGUUUCCUGAAUUAUCCAUGUGAAAUCUAAAACACUUGUCACGUACCUAAAAAUACCCAUUGAAUCCAAAAUCGGUGAAAAUAUUUAUUUUUUACCAAUUUCGAAGUUCCGGCAAUGACACCACUAUGCACGACAGUGGUUUGCCUCGGUCUGGCUAUUUUUCGACAGGUUUUGGCCAGUUUCAAUCGACUUUAUACGUAUCCUUAUGAAAAAAUUAGGGGAACUCGGUUGGUCGAAAAAAUCAGAAAACGGAGACUUACCGAUAGUGGAGUUUUUUGGGUGCANNNNNNNNNNNNNNNNNNNNNNNNNNNNNNNNNNNNNNNNNNNNNNNNNNNNNNNNNNNNNNNNNAUCAAAUUCCAAGCCGAUAGGAGAAUUUUAACCUUCUUUGGCGAUCGAAUGUGGCUCUGGUGCGGCGGCAGUCGGUGGUCGGCUCCCUUCUCCAACGGGAAGCUAUCAGCUAAGGUUUAGGUUCAGUGUAAUGCGAAAUAUUUAUAUUCAUAUCGCGUUAAUCUGCACCGUUCAUCCCGAUUUAAUAUCGACUGUCCGAUUUCAUGUAAAAAUGUAAUAAAUUCGAACCGUCCACGCGCGCGGGAUCAAUCCUGGACCGAUCAAUCGCAAGAGACGCGGAUCACCUGCGUGGCAUCUUGCGUCAGCGCGCCUUGCCACACAACGUGCUUCAGUUCGUCAGGGUUGCUAAUUGAGCGGUUCUACGAGGUAAAAUUCUCUUUAUUUGCACUCUGAUUCUCAGUUUCUAAUUUUUCUUUUAAAAAUACUUCCCAGAUUCAAAUUUUUACCUGUUUUUUUAAUUAUUUUUAAUUUCAUCUCUAACUUGUUUUUUUAUAAUUCAAUAAAAAAAAUAAAAUAAAUUAAUUUAAAAAUAAUUUAUUUUUUAUAAAUUUAAAAUAUUAAAAUUAUUUGCGAACCCGGGUAUUACGUUAUCGCUUUCAAAAAUAAAAUUUACGUAGUUCUUGUGAUGAUUUGUUCAAGUGAAAAACAGUGGUUAAAUUAUAUAUUAUAUUUUUGUAUAAAAAAAAGUAGGAGAAAAUAACAACAAAAUUAAAUAAUACAUGUUCUAAAGUAAGAGACCCUGACGAAGUUGUCUUUGGUGAAAAAUUAUGUAUUAUAUUUUUAAUAUAACAGAGAUAAUAUAAUUCCAAUAAUUCAAUUUUUCACUAAAAGGUGUUGAUUUAUAAGUCAAAGUUAGGGUUUGAUUUAUUUGCAGCGAAAUUACGAUUUGCGAAUCUUCUAAUAAAAGUGUAAAUAACUUGACUUUAAUCAAAUUUUAUAGAAACUCAACACAAGAAUUAGUCAAAAACACACUCAGCACUAAAAAAUAAAAUAACAUAAACAAUAUAUCAUAAACUGAAAUAAAAUAAUAUUAAAAAUGCCUAUAUAUUUAAAUUAAAUUCAUUAUUACUUAUAUAUUCCCAACUUUCAUCAUUCAUACGUUUAAAUAAAAUCGGAAUUAUUUAAAUCCUAUUGAUUUUUAUUAUUUUUAAAAUUACCAUUUUAAUUAUAUAUUUUUUUAAAAAAAUCCUCUCCUUCGUAAUUAAAUAACACAGGCUAAUUUUAAUUCCAAUUCAAGCUCUGUUGUACAUUUGAACGGCUGUGAUUUUACAUCAUAAGUUUCCAAUAUUGACUGCCAAUUCGUCAAGCACGAAGAAAAAAGAGUCUAUGGGGUGUGCUCCAGUAAGGAGGACCCCACCAAAAGCAGAAGUGGACAUUUAAGAUCGCGAAAGAGUGGGGUCCACGAAAACAACCCCAAAAUCCCUAAUCAACUCGUAGGCGUUUGACGUCGUUUUCGACGGUGGAAAGACGCAUUACACAUUACAAUCAUACUAUGUAUUUAUCGAUAUUGUUGAAAGCAAAAACACCCACCCGCAUAAAAUACAUUUCUGUCUAUUUAAUAUUAUAUUUUAAAUUUACUAAAUAAUUUUAUUAAUGCAUAAAAUAUUAAUCACAAAAAGUACAUAUAGAAAAAUAAAUAUUUUGCAAUCUGUUCUAACCCAGUUCAUACGUUAACGGACCCAAAAGAAAAUUCAAACCAAUAUAUAACCUCAUUGAAAUAUAAUUCCCAAUAAUAAUUUGAUUAAACAUCAAUUAUAUAAAAUACCAUUUUUAAAUACUCUAUAUAUAAUAUGUUAAAUUUCGUUUUUAAUAUUUUUAGAUAAUAAGUUAAUUAAACCAAAUAACUUCAUGAAAUAUAAUUCUUAACGAGAAUUUAGAAUCGGUUAAUAUACUAUAAUAUUUAUUUUACAUUUGUUAAAUAUAUGUGUUAAUAUUUAUUGUUUUAGCAUUUUUUUUAGAAUAAAUGAAACGUAAAUCACGGAACAGAUAUACAUAUAUAUCAUAAAGUUUAUCAUGAAAUUUUCAUUAUAAAAAACAUACAUGUUAAUUAUCGUCGUGCCAACUAGUAUAUCGAGAUAAUAAUAGCCAUCCAAAUUAUCAACGCAGACGAAAAAUCAAUCACAAGAUGUUCUUGAAGAAUUUGUUUAUUAUGAUAACACGAUAAUGAUGAAUAUGAUUUAUUUUUAUAUGUUAUUCUAUAAAUAAUUAACUAUAAUUUUACUACUAUGUAUGUAAUAUAAGUAUGAAUAAUUUGUAUACUAUAUAGAGAACUAAAAUAAUAUUUUCUAUAAAUAAUAAUUAUAUAAAAGUGAAUUUAUUUAUGAUAGCAAAUAGUAUCUUUACGUCAGAUAAAACUAUCUCAAUACUUUUUGUUUGAGGUGAAUAAUUUUUUUAUAAAUUUCAUCGAUAAAUUCAAAUUUUAAUAUUAUUAUAUAUAAUAAAUCAAUAUAUUUAUUAAAAAUAAUAAUAAUAAAACCUAAUUGAGAAUAUUAAAUCAAUACAUCAGUUUAAGAACAUAAGUUACAUCUUUAUAGAAGCUUAUACCCUAAAUUUUUACGAAUAACUUGCAAGAUUAAUGUGAAAUGUUGGUGAAAAUAUUUUUAUAUUUAGGACAUGUAAAUAGAUAACUAUUAUUAUUUUAAUUUUAUUUUUUUAUAUAUAAAAUUUGGGAAUAGAUAAUUAUUUUGAAACAUUUUUAAAUUUAUAUCGUACAUAACAAUCCUCCUAUUAUAUUUUACAUUAUGACUAAUUAUCUUAUCAUAUUGAGUGAUAUAAUAUUUAUUUUUUAAUUAAUAUUUUUAAUAUAAUUACGUGCUGUAUAAAAAACUUUAAAAAUAAAAUUUUUACAUAUAAAUAUGCAAGAUAUAUGCUUUUAAACAUUUAUAUAAAUAGAGUUUAUACUAUCAAAUAUAUUUAUAAUAAAUUUUUUAAAGAUCACGAUGAUUAACAUUAAAACAUUAUUUUUUGCGUGCACAAUUUUGCUUAUGGCAUGCUAAUCUUUAUGUGGGACAUAAGAUUAUAUGGUUGCAUACUCUCGUUUAAAUUUGUCUUAUUUUUAUAGUAACGCAUCAAAAUCAUAUUCUUAUAAUAUUUUUAUUCAAUUAAAUAUUUUGAAUUUAGAACUUACAUGUUCAUUUUUCAUUCUAAAACAUGGAUAAAAUACUAAAGCUAGGUAAAAAAAAAAAAAAAAUCGUUAUCAUAAUUUAUCACAUUUAAUUUAUAAUUGAAUCAAUUUUACUUAUGUGUUCAAUUUCACAACUAUAGAUUUAUGUUUUUACAUGUUAAUAAAUAAAUCAAAGAAAUAUUUAUUCUUAAUUGAAUGUAUAAUUAACUUAUAAUUGAGAUGUUACUUUGUUUUAAAUUUAUAUAAUAUAUGUAUUAUAUUAUCAUUCUUACUCGACAAAAUUUAAAUAUAACAACAUUCAAAACAAUUAAAGUUAAUUUUUAAAUUUCAUUAUAUAUUAUAGAAAAAAAAAAAAAGUUAAUAGUAUUGCAUCUUGUUCAAUUAUCAAGCAGUAUAAAUAAAGAUUAAAUUUUUAGUUUUAAGCUCGAUUUAAAGAUUAUAUAAUAAAUAUAUAUCAAUCAUGUGAUGGUAUAUUUUUCUUAAUAUUUUUAAAAAAUAAAUAAAAAAAUAGAAUAUCUCAACACGGUACAGAUUUUGCCCACUAAUUGAGUGUUAAGAAAAUGGAUUGUUGUUGAAUGAAAUAAAACGUAACAGAAUUGCUGACUUCAGCACAUGUGAGACUAAAUAGCUUGCAAGAAAAGUUGAAACAUUUUUCUCAAAAUUUUUCCACGUGGCGUCUUCUGAAUGGAUAAACUACAUAGGUCCAUGGAUUCUCUGUCGUACUAGAUUGCUUCCCAGUAGCCGCCCCCUACCUGACAGUGGAUAAGAAAUCCACUAGAUUAAUGCCACGUUGCGUAAUAAUAAAGUUAUUUAGCCGGCAAAGUCAACAACUUUUGGGCAGAAACAGCAUUUACACCGUUUAGUCAACUCCACAAAAUGGUUCAGAAGUGAAUUAAUUUCAUUGGCCUCUUCAGAAUAGGAAAAUGACGUGUUAGACGUAAUUCGCCGUCGAAUAUAUUUUUACAUUUUCCAAAUCUUAAUAAAUAUAUAUUUUUUAAAAGCUCUGAUUUUUUUCUCGAUAAUUUAAUAUUUUAAAAAUGUUAACUUGACUUUACUGAGUUUUUUUAGGCGAGCCUAGGAUUGGGUCGUGGGAUAUUUUUAAUUAAAAUUUAAAUUUGUAUUGAUGUUUUAAUUUAUUUUAUUAAUAAAUCUUAAAAAGAUUUUUUCAAGCUCAGUUUUCUAUCAAAAACGAAUUGACUAAAUGUUAAAUCAAAUAGAGCCCAUCGGCCCAAUUAAGCCCCGAGCCCAUCAUCUAUCUUUAAUGUUUGUUAUUAUAAUUUAAUUUUUAAACUUUUAAUUAAUAUUUCACUACGGUACGUUUUAUUACCUGCUUGAUUUGAAGCAGAGAAAUAAAAAAUUACGAAAAUUAUAAAGUAAAAAUAAUCUUUUAAACCAAUAUUAAUAGUAAUAAAUGAAUAAUGAAUUUUUGCAUGCAUAAUGCUUUUUAAAAAAAAAAAAAAAAAAAUCGUCAUUUAAAAUCAAUUUUAUCAUUUUAUGAAACAAAUUUAUUGCUUUAAAAUUUUUAAUUAUCAUGGUGUGGGUAGCCGUGUAUAAUAAUAAUAUGACGGAUGGUGUUUAAAAGCUUCCACCCACACAACACCAUGUUAUUUAUUUAAUAUUACAAAUAUGUCAAUGUAAUUUUAUUAAUAUAUAUAAAAAUUAAAAAUAUAUAUAAAAUUCCAUCAAUCACUAUAAAAUUUAAUUAUAACUUAUUAUUGUUAUUAUUUUAGUAUAACAUAACAUAGAAAACUAGUUGUUUAAUUUUUUAAUAUCAUUUUUAACUUUUAAUAAGUUAAUUAGGUUUACCUUUUUCUUUAUUGAUUAAUUAUUAUUAUGGAGUAAAUGGAAAAUAUUUAUUGGAUAUCCUCCAAUAAAUUUACUUCAAAGCUUAAUUAUAUAUUUUAAAGAAUUAAAAUUAUAGCAUAUUUUUAUACAGCAAAAGGAAGUAUACUCUCUUUUAACAAAGAAAUGUGGAUUAAAAAAUAUCACAUGAAAACACUGGGCAUUUUUUUAUUUAAUCUAAUGUGGAAAAAUAUGAAUUAUAUUUAACAUAAUAUAAUGUAAUUAAAUUUAACAUAAACCAGUACCCACAGCCCAGUGGAUAGAAGCUGGCCCAAAAUAUGUGCAUCUGGUUCAAGAAAUUAGGGCUUCUAAGCUUAGUUUGUAUCAUAAUGUUACAGCCCAGCCCAAAUAUUGUGGGAGCCCAGAGAGAUUAUUUUACAAAAUUUCACAAAAACCUUAUCAUUAUGAUAAAAACUAAUGUCUUGAUAAAAAUUAUUUAUUUACUUUUAAAGCUGGAUUAGAUUGGAAUUUGAACUCAUAUUUGAAUUUCUACAAAUAUAUAAAUAUAUAUAUAUAUAUAUAUAUAUUAUUUCAUCUAAGUGAUGUUCUCUUGACAGAGUCCUCAUAAUUUCAUCACACAUUAAGAUCAAAUUAUCAUAAAUUUUUUCUCAAAACAAAGAUUAGUUUGAUGUCUGUGAAAAAUAAAUAUGUUUGUAUUUAUUUAUUUUUCUAAUUACCUGCAUGAUUUGUUUCAAUUGAUAAAAAGAAAAUGCAGGUUAGUAUAUGGACCCCAUAACAUUAUACAUUCUUACAAAACUAGUAACCAAAAAAAAAAAAACCUAUGGGAGCCAAAGGAGACUUUUUAGAUCCCUUCAAGCUAUGUACCAAGAGCUACAUUAUACACUUACUUACAACAAAACAUAAGUGAACCAAAAAGAAUCAGCUCAGAUUAAUUUUUGCAGGAAGGCAUAUUCCAGGGGCUUGCUCUUCCACACUUGCCCCUUCACAAGCAACUAAUUUCACAACACACUGAGCAGUUAUCUUAUAUUUCCUCCUCGCCUUGGUAAAGCUCUGGCUAAGGACAUUUUCAACCCAAUCCUCAAUGGCUCUCUCCUUGUCUGAUAACCAAGCAGCCGCAAGCAUUUGUACUAUUACUUCUUGAUCGAUGUCCAGCAGAGUUUCAUGCCCAAAACUCCUCUGUAAAUGUUGGUGGAUAUUCUUGACGAGUUUCUCAGCAAGAGCAUCAAAAUUGAAUGGUUUAAAAACUACCUUCUCAUCUACUUGAUCGAGGAAGUCUUCCAACCAAGCUUCCGAGUUCUCAGAGAUGGAAUCACUGUCAGCUUCCUGGGAAUUGAUGUCUUCUUCUGUCUCCUCGACGGGAAGAUUCAAAUCUAGAUAGGAUCUCAGCAUCUUCGUAGCCCGUCUCUGUUGUCCUUCCUCUUCUGGGUUUGUACAAGUGCUGACACCUAUCAAUUUUCUUUUAUUUGUAAAUGCUGCAUUGAGAGUUUCCUCUUUUAGACUAAUUCUGAUGUUCAUGUCAUUACUUCUCCUAGCAUCUUCAGAGCUGCUACUGACUUUUAUUUGCAUUUGCCAGCUUUUAGCUCCGAGUAUUCUUUCCUCCAAAAACUUUGUUGGGUUCUUCUUCAAAACAACAUUUUUAUCACCUUUUAUGAUGGUUGAUGUUGUUACAAAGACCAUAUUGUUGGUGCUGCUUUCUCUCCCGUGCGAGUCCGGAAACUUACCUGUCCUAAUGGCCCGCGACAAACUGGUUUGGGUCAAUAAAUCAGCCUUAUCAACAUUUUCUAGGAAGACAACUGAAUUGGGUUUCCUACCCAACUCCCCAGCAAUGAAAUCAACAACCAUUCUCCGAAAUUUCACCUCACAAUCAUUUGAUUCUUGACCACCAAUUAUCCUGUUCGACUGGCUAUCAUAGUCUUCGGAGAUCAAAUCCACUGAGAUUAAAUUUUCCUGGCUCCCAAAAAUCAUCUCAGCUAGUGCAGAGGCAAUUUUUUUCUUUCCAACUCUGUCGGGUCCGAGGAGAGAAAGCCAAAUGUCUCCUCUAGAAUUUGACCUCCGAUGCUUUGUAUUUCCAGUUCUACAUCUGCAUAGAGCUUGACUAAUCAUACAGAUGGCUUCAUUUUGCCAGCCAACUUUUUCAGCAAGAAAUUUGCUAAUUGCCUUGGAAUCUCCGGGAUCUAACCGCUCUGAUGUAGGACCAGAACAGGAAGAGAAAUGGGCAUUCUGGUGUGAAGUAUUCUCACUGUUUGAUUCAAACUCAGUAGAUAUGGAACCUGAGUAGUGCUGAAGCUGCCCUCUAUGAUCCUGUAAUUUUGGAGUGUUGGCCUCCUGACUAGCUGACGCAUAAAGAGUCCCCAACCCUAAAUCUGUAGUGACAGAGGUAAUGGACAAAGAGGUUGUGCAGCUACCAAGUGGACUCACACUGGACACAGGAUUAGGAGGUAAUAAACAUCUCUCUUUUUGCUCGCUUCUUGAGACUUCUACUGACAGCCUAGGUUGGAAACUUAUAUUUUCAGCCACAAAGGUCGGAGAUAUUGGUAUCUUCUGCUUCGCUAAAAGGUUGUCUUGCAUGGUCAUGUUUAUACAAGGACUUAUCACAUGUUCACUUUCAUCUAUGGAGCGAUCUUUACUAUUGGUUUCAUUCCUAUCAGCAACAAAUUGAAAGCCCUCAGCAGCCGGGGAAUGGGAUAUUGCCUGGGGAAUGUCUAAGUUAGGGAAUUGUUGGAUGUGAUGCAGACGCUGGCAAAUAUCAUUCCACUUCUUUUGCAGUCCUGCAAUUCUAGCAUUCAAUGUCACUCCAUCGUUUUUGGCCUGCACUGAAUGAGUCGCAAAUCUUAAAUACCUACUGUGACAGGGAAUGAUUGAAAACUGAUAAAAAAACUGAAAAUGGAAGAACAAAUUCUCCCUAUGCAUGACUGCAGAUGAGUUUUUAAAAAAAUUAAAACUAGAGAGGGCUAACACACCUUUGUCACAUCCACUUCCUUGUCUGUGCUCUGUCCUGUCAUUCUCAACCAAGGAGGUAAACUAUCAGAAUACUGAUCAGCAGCUGAAAUGGUUGAUUCCACCUUUAGAACUCCAGCAACUUCUUGUUCAUACUUUUCGUUGCACAAGUGACAUCGAGGUGUAAAUCGAUUCAAGUUACUAAAUGGACUGCUGAAGUCAGAUGGUGUAGAAAAAAACCCAGCAAACGGAACAAAGGACCUCAUCAAGCUGAAAAUGUAUCAAUGAGCACGGAACUGUGAGACCCAAUGGAUUAAACGAAAAAGGUCAGAAGUUGAAGUUCGUGGAUGAUAUAGCCACAUGCAUCUGACGUAAACAGAUUUUACAACAGCUCCAAUCUUAACAUGCUACAAAAGACUUCUUCAUGCAUUGUUAAAUUCAUGAAUGCUCUUGGAUGUCAUUCCCAGAUUAGAUACCUCACUUAUGUCUGUUAGAGAAAGAAAAUAAUGCCGAAACCCUAACUAGAGGAAGCACAAUGCAAGAAGUGCCCAUUUUAGCCUCAGUAAGGGUAGUAACACAAGAUUGGGCAAUCAUCGGAACAAAAAGAUCCACAAACAGGUGUGUGCAGAUAAAAUACCAAUAGCUGCAGAGCUCAGUCAAGCAAAGAACACUCCUUACAUAUGUACGUCUUGGGAUUUUAUGAUAGAAGACCAUGUCAACUAGAUUUAACAAAAGUACUGACUGAAGAGGCUUUUCCACAAUGGUGUACUAUAUGUAAUUUUGAAUUUUGUACAGCACAUAAAGAAAAAUUAUUUCUCCUUCCAUGAGGCAAACCUUUAAAACCGGAGGUUCUUUUACUCUUAUAUAUGCAUACUCUAUAUUUUAUAUACAUGUAUUCUAGAAAAGCUCACUCAGAGUUUUUUUUAAAACCAAAAAAAAAAAAAGUCGUUCUCCUCCGAUGAGGCAAAGCUUUGAAAGCAGAGGGAAAGAAUUUGCCAAUUUAGAAACAAGAACUAUUCAUCUGGCUACAUGAAUUUAAUAUGUCUUAAAAUUAUAUUAAAAUGAAAAAGAAAACUAUAUUAAAAAUGCACCAUAUCCUGCUGCUGCCAUCUGAUUGACUGCAGAAGAGCUCAGUUAUUCAUACAAAUAAACAAUUAUAUUGUGCAUCUGCUUUUAAACUUUUGAAGCAACACUAGAUAACAGAAUAGAAAAAAAUACAACAAAUGAUAAGAGUAUCAAAAGGGAAAGAAAGAUCCACCUGGGUUUAGAAGAAACCCUAUCAAGUAAAUUCGAAGAAGAGAUAGGCAGCAGAUGCAGAUCCCAUUCCUUCUCUAUACUCGGAUACCGGGACAAAAACUUUGAGUAAGUCUCAGAACUUGCCGCUGCCCCCAUCAACCACAACUUCCCUCCAUGAAUAGGCAAAAAGCUUGUCAAUUUAGAAACCAGAGAGCUUAAAGCAUCGCUAGAAGUAGAAGCAGAAUCCUCUCCUAAUAACACCUUCAAAUCACCAAAAUUCAUAACCAAGCCAGACCCAGUACAACGCUGCAGAAUCUGCCCAAUCUCCUUAAGCUUCAAAUCCAUACUCUCCUCGUUGUUUCCAUCAACAAACUCAAUAAUUUCCUUUUCGAUGCUGAUUACGCUCAGACCGCUAAGCGCUGGAGGUAAAACAGCCGUUUUGCCUCUCUGUAUAAAGUCGCUGAAGCUUCUUAAAGCAUCGCUAGCUGAAAUCCCAACAAGCAACGGGUUUCUCUUAUCCUUUCUAGCUAACACUUCGGUGAUUUUCCUGCAGUUAUCAUCGAAAUCUUCAGAGCCGUAGUAAGGAAGGCCGAAUCCUCUCCGACCCAGGUCGGAAUCCGUCAAGUUACAGAGGAAAAUGGGUGGACACCGGCUUCGAGAGAAUCGAGGAGCAAGUUGGGUCAUAGGUGGGUGAAGUAUAGCAACUUUUAUCUCACAGCUCCUAAACCCAGCUUCCUCAAAAACCCGACUCACAAUCGGAUCAUCGAGAAUCGAGAGUAUGAAAUACUUGAGCUCCACCUUUAAAAGUGAUGCAGUCGGGUUGGUACUAUUGCUGCUGCUGUGCAUCUGCUGCAAGUGAUAGCUCUCAGGAUGCCUUCUCUGGCUCGCUUGCGACCGCUUAAUCGCCGCCAUCAACGAGUUAGAGAUCGGCGGGUCCUCCACCGACUUCGACGACUGCAUCCGGUCAAGCGACACCCCUAAGCAGAGCUCCAAAGCGCGAAAUUGCAGACGCGCGGAGUAACUGUUACCUCGCGCGCGUGCGCAAGCUUCCCGCAGCGUCGACGAAGGCAUCGCGAGAAGGGCCGACACAGCGUGCAACGACGUCGUUUGCGCAUGACUCCUACGACGCGCAACCGCAACAGCAUCGUCUAAUGCACGCGCCGCCUCUUCCGUCAAGCAUUGCCUCGCUGCGGUCACCGGCGUCGGCAUCGCCGGCCAGCACACACCUAUAUAAACACACCCGCCUCCCCAGAUAUUAAAAUAUAGUAAUAAUAAAAAAAAAAACCAACCAAACACCACCCAACAAUGAAUUACGUGUCUGGUCUGUUUAUCCGAUUUUUUUCCCCUUUAAUUUUAUGCGCGCAGCUCGUUUUGUUUGUCUUGUUUGUUUGUUUAGAAAUAAAAAAAUGGGGGAACAGAAAAAGAUUGAAAGAGUGUUUACUUCAUCAACUUUUUGCAAUAAUUUAUUGGGUACUGGCACAAGAUAGAUGAAAGAGAAAGAGAAAAAGAAAAAGGAAGAAGAAGAAGAAGAAUGAGAUAGAGGGAGAGAGAUAGGAUGCUGACUUGGGGGUGGUAGUAGUAGUAAUGGCUACUGUUCUUGUUUGUUGGUUUCAAGUGUGGGUCCAUUUCUUAUAGCACAAAGAACAAACACAUGGUGAGUAUAGAUUCUCUUUUCCCAGAUUGGCCCCCUAAAGAAAGAUCAGAGGUCUCCUUCCUCCAUCAAUGGCUUCCCCCCAAUACUUUACUGUAAUUAUUAAACUCGCCCACCAUUAGUCCACAUUUCUUUUCUUUAACCCCAUAAAUAUAUAUUAAUAUACCUACAUGGGUAUGUGGGUAUAUGAUAGAUUCCGUGUCCAUUGAAGCAAAUUGGGGGAAGCGAGGGGAGUCACUGUCGAGCUUCGGGGGUUAAAAUGAAACUUUAUUUUUUGUAAUUAGGGUAUUCAGAGAUGGGUCAGGGCUAAAUUUGUAUGGAUUAUAUAUGUAAGUGAUAAGGUGGCAUAGAAGAGGGAGUAGGAGGAGCAGUAAGAUCCCUUCAACCCCACCACCACCACACACAAUAUGAAGUCGCUUUCUUGCAAAAAGUAGAACCUUUCCUCGUUGUCAUUCUUCUCUAUUUAUUAUAACCCCACCUUUUUUAUUUAUUUACUUUUUUGGAAUCUCAAGAUAUUUUUAUUUGCAAUUAAUUAUAUCUGACUGUGCUCUAAAUUAUAACAUCAAUAUAAUUAUUAAGAUCGUCCACGUUACAUUUGAAUAUUACAAGUUAAAUAAUUAUAUUAUUGAUUAAUUUUAAAUUUAUAAUUUAAUUUAUUAAUGUGCUGAUAGUAAAAUUACGAUGAAUAAAUUGAAUUUCGUUAUAAUAAAUUAUUAUGAUCGUGACUGAAGAAAUAUAUUAUUGGUUAGCUUAAUUUUGAUUAUUUAAUACCUCAUCUAAUCUUUUUAUUUUAAAAAAUAUAAAACUACAUUAUUCUUAUAAUUGAUAAUAAAUAAAUAGCUCCCUAUCAUUAAAUUAAAACAUAGUUAAACAAAUUCUUGUAUAUCAAAUAAUUGCAAUAUAUGCAUACAUUGACAGUAAAACGCAGCUUUAAUUCAAUUGCAUUUAAUAUCUACACAAUGGAAAUAUCUAAAUGCAAUUUACUUUUUUCUACUUUGUAUUUUAUUUUGUUAUAAAAUACUAAUUAGUUCUUUGCGAGGCUGUUGUUGAAUUUAUUGUAGUAGAAAUUUGAGUAUGAACAAACUAAAAAAGCUAUAGAAAUCACCCUAUCUUUCGUGACACUUCCAUUCCAUUUAAUUUCUACCAAAUUUAUUGGCAAAUAAAGAUAAAACUAUAUUAUUUUAAUUACUAAAACAUAAUUACCCAUUGAAUUGAAUAAGACAUCGAUGGAUUAUAUUACUAAUCCACUAUCCAUUAGUUGAAUUAUUAUAUCAUAAAAUUACAAUAUUAAAUAAUAAAAAUAGACAAAAUUAUAUAUUAAAAUAUAUUAUUGUAUUUAGAUCUAAUUUUUAAUUACAAAAUCAAUAUUUUUAUUUAAAUUAAAAAAAUGUAAAUGUUCAAAAAUUAAUCGAAUAAUAAUAUUAAAAUUUAUAAAAUAUUAGCAUAAUCAAUUAACAAUUUAAAUUCUACAUUCAUUGUACAAUUUAAUCAGAAUACUCAGUAGAAUUACGAAAAUAUCUAUUGAAGUAAAUUAAAACAGUAGAAAUAAAAAUGUAACUAAAAACCUACGGAGUCGACCUUCGCUGGGCAACUGAUAGAAAACAGGAGGCAACCUUUAAUUUGUAACUUUCUUACUGCUCAGGAUCCAGAUCUUGAUCGUCCUGAUCUGAAAUUAUUNNNNNNNNNNNNNNNNNNNNNNNNNNNNNNNNNNNNNNNNNNNNNNNNNNNNNNNNNNNNNNNNNNNNNNNNNNNNNNNNNNNNNNNNNNNNNNNNNNNNNNNNNNNNNNNNNNNNNNNNNNNNNNNNNNNNNNNNNNNNNNNNNNNNNNNNNNNNNNNNNNNNNNNNNNNNNNNNNNNNNNNNNNNNNNNNNNNNNNNNNNNNNNNNNNNNNNNNNNNNNNNNNNNNNNNNNNNNNNNNNNNNNNNNNNNNNNNNNNNNNNNNNNNNNNNNNNNNNNNNNNNNNNNNNNNNNNNNNNNNNNNNNNNNNNNNNNNNNNNNNNNNNNNNNNNNNNNNNNNNNNNNNNNNNNNNNNNNNNNNNNNNNUCACCCUCUAUUUUCAGCUUCUCCUUUGGUUUUUCAGCUCUAAUAUGGGUUUGGGGUGGCUUAGAAGCAAAAUGUGAAUUGAAAGUAAAGAAGAAACUCACCUUUCAAUGUUGCCGAGGGUUCCGGUAUGACAGUGACAGUGGCUGGCUGCCCUUCUUCUUCUUUUCUAACGAGUUGGUUGCGGCUAGGGUUAGGGUUUCGGUGGAAGAAGAGUUUAAAUACUCAUCUCCCUUCAAUCUAGGUCAUCCAUUUAAGGAUGCGUGGCUCAAUCUUUGUCGUUAGAUCCAUCUUAUUUGGGAAACAAAUUAGGAUCGCACGAUCAAAUGCAUUAGGAGCAUUCAACCGCGCUUGAAGGAAAAAUGAAUCUGGGUCAUUCAUGCGCACUAGAGUAAAUUUGGACCGUCUGAUUGGUUGGUACGCGGAUUGCCCGUGUGGCUUCCCAUGUGGACGCAUAUCCGUGUGUCUGCCAUACAACACACGGUGACUGGUCCCUCUGUUGACGUAGUGGUCUUACGUGGUCACUUUUUUAUUUUUUUUUAUUUUUGCCCCAAUUUUUCAAUUUUUUUUUUUCAAAUAGGUCAUUUCUUAUUUUCAGUUUGGCUCUGACUUUUGAAAAUUAUUUUCAAAUACACCCAAAAUGUUUAUUUCUUUAAAAUUUCUAAAAAAUUAAAAUUAAAAUUUUUAAAAUUUAUUAUUAAUAUAAUUUUGAUUAUCCCGAUAUUAAAGUUCAGACUCAGGUGUUACAAAACAAUUAAAAAUAUUUGAAUACAUAUCAAAAUAUAAUUUAUUUACUAUUAACUCGCUAUAAUCUUAAUAGUAUAAUACUUCAAAACCCAUAAUAGAAAUAAUAAAUAUGUCCAACUAUUAUUAGGGAUAGACAUUGUAAUGAUUAAAAAAGUACAAUCUUUAAAGUAUAAACUAACUAAUCUAUAAGUAUACUGUUAUAUCCGGGCCCGAAAAAACGGCUUGAGAUAUUUUUUUAUUUUUUAUUUUUUAAAUUAUUUAUUAAAAAAUUAUUUAAGUUAGUUUAUUUUAUUUAAUUAUAAUUUUGAAAUAAAAUUAAUUAGGAACGAGAUUGAAGAUAAUUUUGGGAGAAAAUAGUAAAAUUUUGAGUUUAUGGGGCAUUUUUAAAAAAAAAUUAAAAACAGAGGGUUAAAGUGUAAAAAGAAAAAGUUCGACCACGUAGAACUGCCUAAUCAGUAGUCUCGACGAAUCAGAGCGUGCCGUGUGGUAAAGUACGCUGAUAUCGGUACCACGUGGGAGGACACGCUGGCUGCAUGCCCUACGAUCAAACAGCUCAGGAUCAAUCUCACAUGCGUGGGCAGCCCAGAUUCAUUUUCUCCUUAGGUGCGAUCAGACGGUCGAGAUCAAUCGCGAUAAACGGGUUAAAUUCGUUUUUUCCUUAGACACAAUCGGAUGGACGAGAUCGAUCGCGAUGGACGGUCCAGAUCAACGUGAGAUGGGUAUAAAUACUUCGUAUCACACACAAACCUAAACCCUAGCCGCCAGCCCCCGGCGGAGAUGUAACACCCAAACCUUUUUUUAUAUUAUUAUUUUAUUAUUAUUAUUGGAAUUAUUUUGGUUUAUUUCAUUUUAAUAAUUAAUUUAUUUUGUAAUAAUAUGUUUUAAUUUAAUUUAAUAGAAAUAGAAAUAAUAAUAAUGAUAAAAUGGGGUAAAAUUAUUUUUGGGAUUUAAUUGAAAUUGAUUUUGGAAAAAAUGGGUAAAAAUUUGGAUUCUGAUGGUGUUUUUCAAAAGAAAAUCGAAAACCUGAGGUCAAAAAGCAAUUUAAAAAAAUAUGACACGUCAGCAGCCCCAGCCAACCAGGACACGCCGCGUGGCAGGGACGCUGACGCGGGAAGCCACGGGGGACGAAGACACGUGGGCGAUCCGCAUGCGCGCGAUCGGACGGUCCAGAUCCGUUCCCGCGCGCACGGACAGCUCAGAUCUCAUGCGUGCGGACGGCCCAUAUCUCAUGCGUGCAGACGGCCUAGAUUUGAUCACGCAAGGACGGCCCAGAUUUAUUUCUAAUUUAAUCGCGAUCGGACGGUUCAGAUUAAAUCGUGAUGGAUGGCUUAGAUUAAAAGGGGAAUGUUAUAAAUAAUUACAUCCACACCCAACCCCAAACCCUAGCCACCAGAACCCUCACCGAAGAAGACGAUCCAGCCACCGGAGAAACCGGCCGCCGCCACCCGCCGCCACACCGAAGGAUUUUUGGGUCGCCAAAGGAGGUAAAAUUUCUCCCCUUUGCUCAUUUUUCGAUGUUGAACCUCCCUGUGGCUAAAUCGGAGCCAAAGCACCAGCCAAUUGGCCGAAAAAUACCGUCGAAGUCCAGUGGCACCGCCGCGGGUUUCCUCGAUUUUUGCCUCCGAUGAGGCCCUUCCCGGUUCUCGUUCGAUGUAAUUUUUAAACCAUUGUGACCACCGUCCUUUUCUCUACAGGUUGACUGGAGCAAAACACCAAAUCGUAACUCGCAUCGGAGGAGUCGCCACACCCGAGAGCUUCGCCGUCGGUAAGUCUCAAUUUUCUAGAAUUUUUUGGCCCACCGAGGUCCCUAGGGGUGUUUUAUCACAUGAACCAAUGCAAGUUUGACUGAAUUCGGCCGAAAACGACCGGAAACGGCCAACAUGAGGUGGAUCGCCGUCGUGGGUGGCGGCGCCGUCGCCAGAGCACGUCGGAGCCGUCGUGCCAGAAUUUUAAAAUUGGCUGAAAAGGCCCUGGGUCUGAUUUAGGAUUUUUUGGGGACAUGUGCAGGUACCGGAAGUGUGUUUUAGUUUUCGAAAAAAAAUUCAGGGAAUCUAGGGACUGCUCGUGGGCGAAGUGAGAACCCAAUUUCAGACUCCGAAACAAGUAAGGAUCUCUCACUCUAUUUCCUAUUACAGCAUUAAAGCUUAAUAAUUGAUAAAAUAGUAUGUUAUGAAUUAAUAGAUAUGUAUAAUUAAUUAGGGUUGCUAAUGAAGCCCGAAUUUGAUGUAUUUUUCAGUCAGGUGUUGUUUGAUUUAUUUUACAGUUUUGAAUGUAGUAUGGUGCCUGAUGUGUUUAUUAUAUGGUUUCGUAAGCAUGAAUCACGGUUUCAUUUAUUAUUGUUUGAAUUAUUAUGAACCCGAUGUUGUGUUGCCUUAUUUGGUGUCCAUUACUGGUUUACAUGUUUAUGUUUGAUUAGAUAAUUGAGAUUAAGAGACAUGAAAAAAGGUAUGUGAAUUGAUAAAUAGAUAAUGUCGACAGCCUAACUAGAUAUCCUGGGAGAUGGUGGACGGACCGGGUUCAUAGAGAACCCUACCGGAAACGUGGUCUCUCAUAUCGAAUGGGGUAUGGAGACUUUAUGUGUUUUGGCGCCCAUACCGGACGGGGUAUGGAGAUGGCCCGUUUCACCAUCAUACCGGACGGGGUAUUGAGGUUUAUGGUUUUGACGCCCAUAUCGAACGUGGUAUGGGAAACGGCCAUGGAAUUAAGUUAUUAAUGUGAAUGGUUCACGUGUAGCGGGGACCCCCUAUGGAUCCCCAUGGAUACUAAUAGGCUGAUAAAGGAAAAAAUUUGUUGUCUGAUGUUGAAAUAUAAAAGUAUGAUAUGUGCUAUGUUACAGAGUGUGCAUGAUCUUAUAAUAUUUAUGAUGUUAUUGUUUCUCAUAAGUUGUUUUCAUGAAUCUUACCGAGGUAAGUGGACAGUAAAUAUUUUUAUUAUUGAUAAAUGAGUUUGUUAUAAAUUAUACUCCAUUGGUCGUUUUUAUUUUCUACCAACUUUUACUUCUGUGACAGUGAGAUAAUGUGAUAUCUUUACUGGAUUAGUGUAGCUCAUUCCUUACUUAACCAUUUCAAAUCAGGAAAACUUGGUUCCCGAGCCCGUCCCACAGGAAGACGAUGAGUAAAUGUCUAAAGAUUUUAUAGUUUUAUUUAUAACAUUCAUCUCUAGUAUUUACUUUAUUUAGUUUAUUAUUUCAUAUGUUUAGUACGUUUGGAUUAUUGUGUAAGGGAUAUUAAUCAAAAAUUUUAUUCCACUUCCGCACUUAGAAUUUUUCUUAUAUAUACAUUUUCAUUUAAAAUUCCGGGGCCGUUAUAGGAGAAGUAGAAUCAAACGCUGGAGAAAGAGGCUAACGGCCGACCGCCACACCAUCGGAGCCACCGCCGGCCGCAAAAAAAGGUAAAAAUUUUCUCCACCUGCUUAAAUUUUGAUUCCAAGCACCUUUGUGACCAAAACAGUGUAAGAGGGACGACAGGUGAGUCAAAAACCUCAUGUAAAGCUCGGCAAAGCCACCAACCAAAAUUCCAAAAUUCCUCCAAUGAGCCCUUUCCCGAUUCCUGUUUUACAUGAUUUUUUUAUCAUUGUAUUCAUCAUCCUUUUAUGUGCAGGAUAGCUAAAGAAAGAACCUCAGCUGCGAAUGAGGACCGGCGGAACCAUCGCACCCGGAGUCCCCCCCCCCCCCCAACCAACCGGCAUGUUUGAUUUUUUGGUGAUUUUUCGGCCAACUGAGGCCUCUAACGUGUUUUUCUGUAGGGAUACAGCUAAAACCAGCCAAAAUUGGUAAGGCUAAGGCAAACUGUCGUCGUGGGCGGCAGAGCCGACGCCGAACCCCCAAAAUUAAUCGAAAUGAGUUUUGGACAUUUAUUUUAGAUUUUUAAAGUAUUUUUAGGUAUGUGACGAGUAUUUUGGAUUCCAUAUAAAAAAUUCAGAGAAUUCGGUACCCGUUAGGAAACGUAGUAGAUAAUUCGACGUCUCAAAACACCAAUCCGAGUAAGGAUCCCUCACUCUUUUCUCCGUUACAGUAAAUUGAGACUUAACAAUAUAUAAUUUCAUAUUUUUAUGAAAAAUUAAAAAAUUUUAAAAAUAAUUACAGGUUACUAGUGAAACCGGAACUAAUUAUUUCACAACUAUCUUGAUUUCUCGUUUAUUUUUCUCUACUGUUCUACUUACUUGAUUGAUCCAAUGUAUGAUUAAAAUUAUUACUUUUAAAUUAUUUUUUGCAUUUAUUGAUUGUCUGAACAUGAUAUUUAUCUGAUUCAUUGAUUUGAAAUAAAAGCCUCAAUUACAUUUCUUAAGCGUUGAUGUAUGAAAUCCUACUGUUUGCUUAAAUGUGUUUGAUUGAUAUUUGAGUAUAUAAUGAGAGAUUUGUAUGCGCUUGUUAGUUAUUUGUUGAUGAAAAUUUAUUUGUAAAAGACUUACUGCAUAUCUGAAAAAUGGCAGAUGAGCCCUAUACAUAGAGAGCCCUACCGUCAAUGUCACCUCAGUCGGAUGGGGCUGGGAAGUCUCUUACCAUAAAGGUUUGAGAGAUGUGGUUCACCCUCAUACCGAACGGGAUAUCGAGGUAAUUGAAUGUUUGGGACCCAUUACUGGAUGAGAUAUUGGACAAUUGAUUAAUUGUUUAAACUGGAUAUCGGAUUCACGGGUAGGGGGACACCCCUAUGGACCCUCAGGGUACUAGUAAGUAGGUCAGAAAUGAAAGUUAUCUUAUAUGUAAAAAUUAAAAGUAUAUGAAUAUGAGUCUUCAUUUGUUAUAUUUGGAAAUCUCGUUAUGGUAAGUAUUAAACGAAUAUCUUCCAGUUUAAAUGUAUGUAAAUAAAGUAAGGGCAUUGUUAGUUAUUUUUAUGAUUUUUUACCAAUUUUUAAUUUUCCGUAUCUGUGAUUAGUGUGAUAUUUUUAUUGGAUUAGUGUAGCUCACUUUUUCAUUAACUAUUUCAGAUCGAGAGCAUCAAUAUUCAAAUCCCGAUCAACAAGAGGGUUGUGAGUAAUUCAUUACCCAAACUCCCUUUAAGUGCUAUUGAAAUUUGUCAUAGGAUGUUUAGAUAUUUGCAUUUCGUUUUAUUUUUUUAAUUUCUGUUUAUUUUUUAGAAUAAACAUUCUUGGUAUCUUAUUAAGUAUUCUAAAUUAUUAUGUAAGAAAUGUAAACUCUAACUCAUUUAAUCGCUUCCGCAUUUAAUUUAUGAAUUUAUUUCUACGUUCCGGGUCUUCACAUAUACCAUAAAAUUAUAAAUAUUGACCUAAAAAACAAUGGGGUUUUUGUACAAUCGAUCAUUUUUAAUUUUGAUAAUUUAUCAAGGACUACAACUGGCCUAUAAUCAAAUAACAUAUGGAAAAAACAUAUGAAUGAAUUAUUUUGUAUAAUUAGUAUACGGUUAUAUAUUAUAUUUCAUUUAAAUUACUAAUUCAAUAACUUUUAAAUUUGAUUAAUUGAUUCACAUCACACCUUAAAAUGCCUCAACAUUCAUAUCAAACUUUUUAGGUACUCAUAUCUAAUAAAAUUUUCAAACACUCUACUAGUACAAAUGAUUUAAAAAGACACACCAUAAAUUAAAAUUGCAAAUUUUCAUAUGAAUACAUAAAUAUAAAACAAACUAAAAAUAUUUGUUGAGUGUUGAGUGUGUCCAACAUUUGAUUGAACAUGGAUUAGUUAAAAUGUCUAAUGGUUUCUCCUUUUUCAAUAUGUGAAAAAGAAAUUUAAAGUAAUGCAUGUCUUAGUCAUCUAUUACAACUUUUUUGAAUCUUAAAUAUAAAUAUAUUUUUUUUGUAAUAAAAACCCUUUUUAUUAAAAUAUUUAUAUUAAAAAUAAAUCAUUGUAUACAAUAAGAUUACGUUGAUAUAAUAUUAUUUUGUCCUUAUUCUAUUAACUUUAUAAAUAAUUAUAUAAAUUUAAUUUAUCAUCAUAACAAAUAAUAAAAUGAUGAUCAUUUAAAAUCAUUCUAACUAUUGCUCUAUCUAGUUUUUGGCAAAAAUUGUAAAAAAAAAAAAACAAAAAACUAUGCCAUUAAGAAUUUAUAUACUGUAUAAUUAUAAUAAAAAUAAAUCAUAUAAAAAUAUAGUCAUACUCAAAUUAUAUUUUUAAAUUUAAAAUACUUACAUAGAUAAUUAUCAUAUAUUAUCACAUUAAAUAAAUAGAUAACUAUCUUUUAUGUUAUCAUAUUAUUUUAUCUUAAUGUAUUUAAAAUUAGUUAUAGAUUAACACAAUAAUUAAUUAAUUAAUUAUUAUUUUAAAUAUAAAAUUAUCUAAAACUGACGUGUGUCAAUUUCAGUAUUUUUUUUAUAUUAAUGUAUACAUAUAAGAUAAAUCAUUGAUUACGUAUAGAAUGUAUUGAAUAAUAAAUUAAUUUUUGGGUAAUUUAAAAUUUUAAGAUAAUUAAUUAUAGCUAAUUUUUUUGGUAAUUUAUUUUUUAUGGCAGCAGAAAAUCAUUUUUAUUUAAACAACAAAAAAAUUAAUGAGAAAUAAAAUAAUAAUUUUUCAAAAAAGGGCGAUAAGAAAGACAUAAUAAAUUAGGAUUAAAGUUGGACUGUUGAGACAGCCGUGCCGUAUUAGCAAAAGCUUCAGAUAAUGAAAUGUGUAAUCCCACGCAGCAAUCAACGGUCUCCUUUUCAUGUGGGGUGCCCACUUGACGGUGAUAGAUUGGGCCAAUGUGUCACGUGCUUGGCGCGUAGCGAUGAGUCAUCGACAUUCAUCNNNNNNNNNNNNNNNNNNNNNNNNNNNNNNNNNNNNNNNNNNNNNNNNNNNNNNNNNNNNNNNNNNNNNNNNNNNNNNNNNNNNNNNNNNNNNNNNNNNNNNNNNNNNNNNNNNNNNNNNNNNNNNNNNNNNNNNNNNNNNNNNNNNNNNNNNNNNNNNNNNNNNNNNNNNNNNNNNNNNNNNNNNNNNNNNNNNNNNNNNNNNNNNNNNNNNNNNNNNNNNNNNNNNNNNNNNNNNNNNNNNNNNNNNNNNNNNNNNNNNNNNNNNNNNNNNNNNNNNNNNNNNNNNNNNNNNNNNNNNNNNNNNNNNNNNNNNNNNNNNNNNNNNNNNNNNNNNNNNNNNNNNNNNNNNNNNNNNNNNNNNNNNNNNNNNNNNNNNNNNNNNNNNNNNNNNNNNNNNNNNNNNNNNNNNNNNNNNNNNNNNNNNNNNNNNNNNNNNNNNNNNNNNNNNNNNNNNNNNNNNNNNNNNNNNNNNNNNNNNNNNNNNNNNNNNNNNNNNNNNNNNNNNNNNNNNNNNNNNNNNNNNNNNNNNNNNNNNNNNNNNNNNNNNNNNNNNNNNNNNNNNNNNNNUUAAAUAAAAAAAAAUUAAUUAUUUUAAAGUAUUUUUUUUUAUUUAUCAAAAAACGUAAAAGUUCAAUGAUAUUAAAUUCAACUUUAAAUAUUCGAUAUCAUUAAAUUAAACUAUUAAUUCCAUAAACCCUUUUAAUCAUAUAAAGUAAUGAAAUUUAUACUUUUAAUUAUAUUUAAAUUUAUUAUUUUCAAAUUAAAUAUAUAAAUAUUAAUAAUUCUUUUAUUGUUACGCACAUAUUUAUUUAUGUAUAAUUUUAAAAAAAUAAAAUUAUUAUAGUUAAAUAUAUUAAUUAAUCACACACUGUCAUAACUUUUAAAUUUCAUAAAUAGUAAAACAUAAUUAGAUAUUUUAGUUUGAGAUAUGGUUUAAUUCUAAAACGUGAAAGGAAUAAAAAAAAAAAAAAAAAAAAAAAAGAUUAUAAUCUAAUACGCUUCUAGUUAGUUAAACCGAAAAAAAAAAAAGGUACUUUUUUAUUUUUAAUAAAUUGCGAACGGAUUUUUAAUAAACAUAUUGGCAAUAAAUUAAAUGCAUUGAACUAAUCAAAUAUUUUCUGAAGAUUUUCAUGAGUAACUUUUGGCCGAAAGCUAAUACGACAAAAAAAAAUUCUUACAGUCAAAAGGAAUAUUAUAAUUUAAAAUUAUGAUAUUAAAAUAAUAAUGGCUAGUCAUGUUAUAUAAAGGUAUUUAAUAAUAAAUUAAAUUACUAUUAUCACUUUCUACUAUUGAAAUAAAUAAUUUUUAACUUCACUUUUAAACGUCUGAAAAAUAAAUUAAAAAAAAAUAUAAAUAGAUCGCCCACUUGUCCAUUAAACAUUGCUUUAGAUUUUGUGUAACGGCUUCGGAAUUUUAAAAUGGAAUAUGUGUAUUAAAAAUGUUAAAUGCGGAAGCGUAAUAAAAAUUUGGAUUAACAUCCCUUACACUAAAACCAAAAACGUGCUCAAAUUAUAAAAGAACCAACUAACUAAAAGAAAAACUCGAAAAUAAAAACUAUAAAUAUAACUACGGAGUCUUUAGGCGUUCCCUUCACCGUCUUCCUACGGAACGGGCUCGGGAACAAUAUCUUCUUAAUCUGAAAUGGUUAAAUAAGGAAUGAGUUACACCAGCCCAGUAAAUACAUCAUACUAUCUCACCGCCACGGAGGUAAAAGUGGAUAGAAAACACAAAAGACCAAUGGAGCAUAAUUUAUAAUAAACUCGUUUAUUAACAUAAAAACUUUUACUGUNNNNNNNNNNNNNNNNNNNNNNNNNNNNNNNNNNNNNNNNNNNAUACAUUUUUCUCAUUUACCAGCCUACUAGUAUCCAUGGGGAUCCAUAGGGGUCCCGCUACCCGUGAACCCUUAACAUUUAUAACCUGAUUCCAGAGCCGUCCCCAUACCCCGUCCGGUAUGGGCACCAAAACCAUGAACCUCAAUACCCCGUCCGGUAUGAGGGUGAAACGGGCCGUCCCCAUACCCCGUCCGGUAUGGGGGCCAAAACACAGAAGGUCUCCAUACCCCGUCCAGUAUGAGAGACCACGUUCCCGGUAGGGUUCCCUACGGACUCGGUCCGUCCACCAUCUCUCAGGAUAUCUAGUGAGACUGUCCACAUUUUCCAUUUAUCAAUUCACAUAACCUUUUUGCAUUUUUUCUUAAUCUCAAUCAUCCAAUUAUACACAACAUGUAAACCAGUAAUUGACACCAAAUAAGACAAUACACAACAUCGGAUUUUCAGUCAUUCAACCCAUAAUCAAUAAAACAGUGAUAUAUGCACACGAAACUAUGAAAUGAAAACAUCAGACCUCAUACUGCAUUUAAUACUGAAAAUUAGAUUAAACAAUAACAGACCGACACUGUAUCAGACUCGGGCUCCAUUGGCAACCUUAAUAAAUUAUACAUCUAUAAAGUCACACAGUACAGUUUAAUUAUUUAUUUAGCUUUAAUACCGUGAUAGGAAAUAAGGUGAGGAGUCCUUACUUAUUUCGGGGUCUGAAUACGGCUCUACAGUGCGCCUACAGGCUGUCCCUAAUUUUCUCUGAAUUUUUUCCGGGGAACUGAAAUGCACUACUGGUACCUGCACGUGUCCCAAAAAAAUCCCAAAUUAGACCCAGAGCCCCUUUCGGCCAAUAUCGCAAUUCCAGCACGGCGGCUCCGCGUAGCAUAGAUACGUGAAACACGUUAUGAACCCGGGAGAGCUCAGGAAGCAGUGCAAGUCUGUAGGCAGCGGUACCAAUCUUGUCUAAGAUUUCAAAGAGUCCAAUAUAUCUGGGGUUUAAUUUUCCCCUCCUGCCGAACCUACUAAUUCCCUUGAAAGGAGUGACCUUAAGAAACACCCGGUCGCCUUUCUCAAAAGUCAGGUCUCUCCUCUGGGUAUCUGCAUAACUCUUCUGCCUACUCUGAGCUGUCUGAAUGUUCUUCUUGAUUUUAACUAUCUUGGACGUGGUCUCCUCUACCAACUCCGGGCCGAACAAUCUUCGAUCGCCCACUUCCUCCCAACAAAUCGGUGACCUGCACGGGCGCCCGUAUAGCGCCUCAUAUGGAGCGAUGCCGAUGCUUGCUUGGUAGCUGUUGUUGUAGGCAAACUCUAUCAGGGGUAGAUGGUCGUCCCAAUGGCCCCCGGAGUCAAAGACACAAGCUCGGAGCAUAUCUUCAAGCGUACAAAUUGUUCUUUCUGAUUGUCCAUUAGUUUGGGGGUGGAAGGCAGUACUAAGAGACAGCUUUGUUCCCAUAGCUUGCUGGAAACUAUUCCAAAAUCGAGAAGUGAAUCUGGGGUUCCUGUCGGAUACCACUGUCACUGGGACUCCAUGCAGUCUGACUAUCUCCCGGAUAUACAUUCUUGCCAACUUGUCCAAAGAAUCAGUCACUCUGAUGGCCAGGAAGUGAGAAGACUUAGUGAGUCGGUCAAUAAUUACCCAUAUAGCAUCAUGUCCUGAUCAUGCCUUGGGUAGUCCCGAUACGAAGUCCAUGGUGAUAUGUUCCCACUUCCACUCUGGAAUCGGUAAAAGCUGAAGUAACCCACCUGGGCGUUGAUGUUUUGCUUUGACCUGCUGACAUACCAAGCACUUAGAUACAAAGUCGGCUAUAUCUCUCUUCAUCCCGUUCCACCAGAACCGAGGUCGCAUAGUUUGGUACAUUUUUGUACUUCCUGGAUGCAUGACAAACCUUGAACUAUGGGACUCCGUCAUGAUGUCUCUUUUUAACUCACUGUUGUCUGUUGGACACACACUCUGUCCUUGAAACGAAUCAAUCCGUCGGUAAAAUCUGAAAUUCUGAACUCACUCUCUGUUCUGCAUCCUUCUUGCGGGUUACUAGGGCGGGGUCGACGGACUGAGCUUCCUUUAUUCUUUGGAUUAACUCGAGUUGGACUGCUAGGUGGCCCAAACAAGUGGCCAUCUUCAGAUCUCGCAGUCGAACCUGCUGCGUGGCCCCAAUGGACCUGCAUUCUGAAACCAUCAAAUGGGCUAGGGUGCCUGCACUUUUCCUGCUGAGGGCAUCGGCUACUACGUUGCCCUUACCUGGAUGGUAUAGGAUGUCACAAUCAUAGUCCUUGAGGAGUUCCAUCCACCUUCUCUGACGCAUGUUGAGAUCCUUCUGAGUGAAGAUGUGCUUCAAACUCUUAUGAUCGGUAUAGAUCUGAAAGGUCUCUCCAUACAAAUAAUGGCGCCAGGUUUUCAAUGCGUGUAUGAUUGCGGCAAGCUCCAAGUCAUGGGUAGGAUAGUUCUUCUCAUGAUUCUUUAGCUGUCUAGACCCAUAUGCUAUAACCUUUCCAUGCUGCAUCAGGACACAACCCAGGCCCAGAUAGGAGGCAUCACUAUAAACUGUAUACCCUCCUGAUCCACUCGGUAGAGCCAGCACGGGUGCAGUAAUCAGUCGCUUCUUCAAUUCUGAAAAACUCCUUUCGCAGUUCUCAUUCUAUUCAAACUUUGCAUUCUUUUUUGUGAGUCGGGUUAGAGGAGCUGCUAGACUAGAGAACCCUUCGACAAACCGGCGGUAAUAACCUGCCAUCCCCAUAAAACUGCGAAUUUCCUUAACUGUUAUCAGCCUUUUCCAACCAAGUACCGCUUCAACCUUUUCGGAGUUCACUGAUACCCCUUCCUUUGAUAUAACAUGUCCUAGGAAGGCGGUUUGCUCGAGCCAAAAUCCACAUUUGCUCAAUUUUGCAUAUAACUUCUUUUCCCUGAGUACCUGUAGGACUUGGGCAAGAUGAUGAACAUGUUCUUCUCUACUUUUUGAGUAGAUUAAGAUAUCAUCGAUGAACACUAUGACAAAUUGAUCCAAGAACUCUCUGAAGAUCCUGUUCAUUAGAUCCAUAAAGAUGGCCGGGGCGUUGGUCAGCCCAAACGGCAUGACCAGGAACUCAUAGUGUCCGUACCUGGUUCGAAAUGCUGUCUUGGGGAUGUCUUCUGCUCUUACCUUUACCUGAUGGUAACUUGAUCGUAGAUCUAUUUUAGAAAAGACCCGUGCACCCUGCAAUUGAUCGAAAAGGUCAUCAAUCCGGGAAAGAUGAUAUUUGUUCUUAAUUGUUACCUUGUUUAUCCUUCGGUAAUCAAUGCACAGUCUCAACGUUCCAUCUCCCUUCCUUGCAAAAGUAACCCCGGCACCCCAUGGGGAAACGCUGUGUCUAAUGAAACCACUGUCUUGUAGCUCAGUGAUCUGUUUCCUUAGUUCUUCCAUCUCGAUGCGGCUCAUUCGGUAAGGAGCAACCGAGAUGGGCUGGGUACCUGGCUGUAAGUCUAUGGUGAACUCGACCUCUCUGUCCGCUGGUAGACCGGGCAGUUCAUCCGAAAAAUACGUCUGGAAAGUCUCGGACUACUGGAAUCUCUUGUAUACAAACUUCUUUCUUGGGUUUUCCUAGUUAGAGAAAAUACAAGAUUAAGGCACUGGAAAUUAAAAAAACUUGCCAUUAGGGGAAAUCAGUACUGAAUAAUUUUAUUAAGUUAUAAAUGGCUCCUCGUUGGGAGGAUUAAAUACAAUCUUUUUGUUAAAGCAGUCUAUGAUGACGUGAUACGCCGCUAGCCAAUCCAUUCCUAGGAUUACAUCAAAAUCCCCCAUGUCUAACCCUAUCAGGUCUACCCUCAAUUUUCUAUCUGCUAUCUCCAUGGCACAUGCCCUGUAGACAACCUCUCCUAACAAUGUCUCCCCCCCAGCGGUAGAUACAAGCAAUAAUGAAUCAAGUCUAUCAGGUGAUACACAAAUUUUGGAAGCAAGAACAUGUGAAACAAAAGAAUGUGAUGCACCAGUGUCAAACAAAACAUGAACAAUGUGGCUAGAGAUAGUAUACAUACCAUGUACCACGUCCGGGUCUGCGUCGGCAUCCUUCUGGGUAAGAUUGUAAACUCUGCCCUGGAUUGGAGGCCUUCUUUGAUUCUGGUUCCUAGGGCAUUCCCUUGCAUAGUGCUGGGUACUGCCGCAUAUGCGACAGGUGUUGUUGAGGCGGUAGCAGGGUCGGUCCCCGUGAUCCCUGCCGUAGUACUGACAGAUCUUCCCACGUGCUGCCCCCGUAGCCUGAGGAGGGGCCUGGAUGGCGAGUCUGGGCCUCUUACUGGGUUGGACAGGCAUGGUAAGUGCUGGCUUGCGGAGCGGGGUUGAGGGUCGGGAACUCCCCGCUAGCUGAGGGUGGGUGUCGAAGCUCCUUUCUAUGAUUUGCGCCUUUGCCAGGACUGCUGAAUAUGUCUCGAGCUCCAUCACCAGUAAGUGCUGUCUGAUCUCCGGGCGGAGACCCCACUGGAAUUUCUUGGCCUUUCGGCCCUCAUCCAUCAAUGUCUCCGGGGCAUGUCGGCCCAGCUCCAGGAACUUACGGGCAUACUCCGACACUGUCAUGUUUCCCUGGACCAAUUGAGCAAACUCCAUUUCCUUUAGGUGUUGGAUGUGUUUAGGGAGAUACUCUGCGUGGAAGGCCGCUAAGAACUGCUCCCAAGUAGCUGGUGUAGGCAGGGUGGUCCGCUUGAGCUCCCACCAGCAUACUGCUUCCCCUACCAGCAUGUAGGAGGUAAUGGCAGCCCUCUGCUCAGGAACUAUUCCCAAGGUCUCGAAAGCUCUCUCAGUCUCUGCCAGCCAGU
rnacentral:lncRNA from 1 species